UAGGGUGAAGCCGGUGUACGAGUCAUAAACGAUCGGAGCCUACCACGGUGGAAGGCCACGAAAGAGUGUUCAAAGCACUCUCACGCUUAUCAACUUAAUAAUGGUUUGGUUGAGGGUUUUAGGUCUCAUCACAUAUAAAUAUUCAUUUUAAUCUUUAUUAAAAACAAUUUUGGCCCUAUUACAACUAUUGGUCCAUUUGAUUGAAUUUUAGUUGUAUAUAAUACUCCCACUAUGCUUAUAAAAACGGUUUUAAAGCAAGAGUAUAUAUGAUACUACUAACAUAAACUUUGCAUUCAUUUGAUGGACUAUAUAGUUGCCUUAGGGCCUUAGGAUGACUAUGAACCUUUGAUUAGAUUCAACACGAGCCUAGUGUUGAAUCUCGGUCUAGGGAUGGUGAUUGAUUUUAGUUACACGUUUAAUCACAUUAAGGCGUGUUGUCUUAGGGGCGUUGGACCCAACUACUUCAAUUUCAUGCAUAUCAAAUAAAGCAAGAAAGAAGUACUUCAAAGUAAAGAUGAGCUUAUGCUCUUUAACAACAUUUGAAUGAUUCAAAUUACUUUAAAGUAAAAGAAGAGCUUAACCUCUUUUACAACAUUUGAUCAAAUCAAAUUACAACCAAAAUCUAAUCUACAUAUUCCGAUGGUUCAAACAAAUUUGAAACGGCCUUUCACAUAGCUCAAUUAUCGUAGGCUUAGGUUCAUAAUCACCCUUUAAUUAAUUAACGCUUUAACUAAUUAAAUUGAAUGCAACAUUUUCAUUUGGUUUUUGUAUCCAUAAAAUUGAUUUUAAAUGGAGCUAAAUGAAAUGAAAAUCCAAUUCUCAUUUAAAGAGACAAAACAAUUUUGUUCUCAACCUAAUUUGGGCCAAAAUGCAAUUACCACAACUUUUUGGGCUAUAUUGCAAAAACACAAACUUUUGGGGUCACUUUGUAAAAACACAAAAGUCCACUACUUCAUGUAAUUACAACUAGAACCCAAAAAUUCAACAAAUACACAAAAACUUCAUUAAAGGAACAAAACAAUUUUGUCCUUUAAUGAAAACUUUUGGGCCUUAACUAAAAUACGUAAACUUUGGGUCAAACUAAAAAAAUAUCAAAACUUAUUUUAAUAGGGUGGCCGGUUAUAGGGGGAAAAUAGAGAAGAGAUAAGUCCAAAAAAUUUGGAAAUUUUUCAACAAUGUCAUAAAGCCUUGCAAGUGGAAUUUGGUUGGUGUGAAUCAUAAAACCAUGCAAGUGGUGUGUAAGAGAAGUACUUCUUACACACCGAUCACCAUUUCUAUCACCUUUCAAAAUAAAUGUUUUGUUGAUAGAAAAUUCACAUCAACCAACACAAAACAAAGACUUUAUGAAAUCAACCAAAACUUUGAAUCAAAACACCAAACUUUUUGUUCUUGAUAAGAACCUCAAGAACAAUGAAGAACAUCCAUGAAAACCCAUAAGAGUUCCAUGAACAUUUUCACUCAUUAAAACCCAAAUUUUCACUUCUCAAAAUGGGGUUAACAUCCUAGGGUACUUAGGGGUUCCAAAAGUCACCUUAAAACACUUUUAACAAGUCAAACAAGAACCCAAAAAAUCACCAUUUGGAUUUGGCCGAAAAAUCCACAAAAAAACUUUUAGCUCACCAUGCUAAUUUUUGAGAAUGGCAUGCUUAACAUAAAUUAACAUCUAACAACAACAAAAUUUGUUCAAAUUAAAAAUUUACAAAAAGAAACUAAGAAUAAAGCUUGUAACAUAUUACUAACCUUUUAAAUCAAAACUAUGAACUACAAAACCACAAAGGAAAUUUUGUGAAAAACAUCUUUUCAUUUUGAGCAACAUCUAUAGCAUGCAAUUAACAAAUUUAAAAUUAAGGCGGAAUCAUGCUUGCAUGCACUCAAAACAAAACAUUACCCAUUAAAUUCAAAGCCUAGUAGUUUGGUGAACCAAGACUCAAACUCAAAAGUGAGUUGAGAGAUAUUUAUACCUUUGUAGAUACCUCUUUGCAUAAGCAAAGGCUAAUCACCCAAAGAGAGGGCCUUCAUUCCUUGCAUCUUAGAUCUAUGGAUUUGGAUGGAUGAAAUGGUUCUUCCCAAAAUUGAGAACCUCUAACUCUACACCAAGGUUAGAUUGGAGAAGAAAUGAGUGACCUUGGAGGAGUUGGGAUUGCUAGCUAAUCCCUCCAAGGGGCAGCCUCUUUAGAGAGAAAGGGAGAGACAUGUUCUCUCCAAUUUUCUCCAAAAGAAACCCUUAAUGAAUUUAGGCUAUAAAGUCCUUUAUAUAGUCCCUUCAAAUAAGUGACCUAAAGAACCAAAAAGCCAUUCUUUUAACAUGGCCGGCCUAUUGAGGGAUUUGUUGGAAAUAUGCCCUGAAAGUCAAUCUUUGGAAGAAAUCUUUCAGGACAAAUGAAUCGAUGUAUGGAUGAUCUUCUACAUCAAAUGCAAAGAUACUAAUUAGGACUAUCUCAAUAAACGAUAUAUAGUGAAUCCUGAAUAGGAUCCGAUUGAAGAAGUAAUCUAAUGAUGUUAGACUACAGAGACCUUCUUUCACAUAACCAUUAUGUCCAAAAGGUUCCUGGUCAUUGGAUUGUCGGAGGGAUACUGACAAUGCUUAGACCAGUACAUGCUGUGUCCGCUUCAAUUGGAAGGAUGGAAAGUCUCAACCCAUUCGUGUUGUGACACUAAGACAAGUAUGUAGGUGCUCAUUAAGGGAAUGAGUUCACUGAAUACAAUUGAAUCAGAGUACUUGCAUGGAGGUCUACUCACAUGUCAAGCAAGUAACUCAAAUGGUUGGAAUAAUGUAAGUAAUCCUCCUUUGACCUGAGGCAUCGUCGUUGUCUUGUGGUUAAGUACUUUAAUCUUUGAUUAUGCCAAAGUCACUCUAUCAGAAUGUCAACGGCAUAGUUGUAUGGUUAAGCCACUUAGUCCCGAUGAAGAGAUGCGCAACAAGGAAUCUCUAAUCCUCGAUAAGCUCUAAGAUAUGAAUCUUCGGCCGAUAUCUGUCGUUCCUAUACGAAGUAAUCAGACAUGAUAUAUCCAUACCCCUAAUGAUGUGGUUGAGAGUAUUGUAUUAGAGAAGGAUUGAAUUACAUUGUAAUUCCAACUGACUAGGUUCUCCGAAUAAACUUCUACAUUAGCUUGGGUAGCUAUGACAUAUGGUUAGAUGUCACUCAUAGCUUGUGAGUUCUUCUAGAUGAUUAAAUGUAGUCAUCAAAGAAGAAAGGUGAAUUAAAAUGAAGUUUUUAAUUCACUAAGUGAUUGAAUUAAAUAUGAGCAAUUGGAUUGAUGCCAAUCACCUCACUGCCUUGCUAAUUAGAACCUAAAAGGUUGUUCACCAAUACACUAUUGUAGUGAGUAACUAAUGGAUGAUGGAAACAAUUAAUUGGAUUAAUUAUGUGUUGUGAUUAAUUUAGAAAAGUCUCUAAAGAAAUCAUAAAAGCGAUAAAGAUCGUUUUGGGCUUAAAGAAACGUUCGGGUUUAAUUAGGCCCAUUGGGCCUAAACCCAUUGAGCUUUUAUUCAAAGCAUUGGAACUUGAAAUAAUAAAAGCCCAAAGCCCAAAAACAACACAAGGGGCCGGCCACUUUAGGUGAGGAAAGGUGAGAUAUUUAGUCAAGUUGUUGACUAGGUUUCUUUUGUCUAUAUAAAGAACAUUAUAGAGAUAAAGUUCAUUAGGGUUUUUGUGAGUUUUGAACAACAAAAGAGGCAAAAGAAAAUAGCCAUCUUCAACCACAAAGGCCGGCCACCAAAAGGGGGUUUUUUUACUAACAUCUCUUACACCCUUUUGGUUAUUCCCUUCAUCCUUCUCACUACACUAUGGGGUGAGGAUCUUUAGAGGUUUCCUACUUUGGGAACUUGAAGAGAACCUAGGAGCACUCAUUAUAACAAAGUGGAGGAGGCAAGGAGGGAAGCUAGGCUCAAGGAUUUCAAGGAGCAAAGGGCUUGGAGGUGGUCCAUCCUUGGUCUCAAGUCUAGAUCAAGAGGUAUAAGACUAACCUUCACUUUGUUCUUGAUUCUAAAAUUUGUUUUGAUGCAUUAUAUAUAAACCUAUGAACCUUGAAGGGGAUUUGCAUGACUAUAGCUUUGAUAAUAUGUUAUAAAUGCUUCCGCUGAUUUCGUAUAUUAAAUUUUGAUUUGUAUAUGCAUGAUAGUCAUUAUGAAAUCCCAUUCUAGAAUCUCAUAAUUUUCCCUUCAGGAUUUGGGCUUUUGGGCCCUUGUGAAUCUUUAUUCAUUAAGUUGUCAUACAACUUAAGUCCAUGGGCUUUGACGUUCGAAGCCCAUUGGGCCUUAAGGUCCAAAACUAUCCCGAGGUCUUCAACGAACUUAUUCGUUUGAUUAAUUAACAUAUUAAUUAAUCCUUGCCAUAAAUAAUUAAACCAUUUAAUUAUUAUUACUCAUCUCCAUUGUUUCUUCAAUCUCCACCUUACACGGUGUACGAUCCAUUAGGUUCCUUUUAGCGAGGCAGUGGGCGAUUAAAACCAUUUCAAAUCGAUUGUGAAUUGAAACUUACUUUCAAUUCUCCCUUUAGUGAUUAUACACGUUUAGGGCUUCCACAAACCAUGAGUGACACCUAGCAGCAUAUCAUGGUUACCCAAGCUAGUCAGAAGAGGUGGAGAACCUAUUCAGUUUAGGAUUACAAAUGCAAUACGGUCUUUCUCUAAUACAAUACUUUUGACCACAUUGUUUGGUUUGAUAGUUUAUUCAUGUCUACUAUCCAAUGUGAUUCGUGUGCUUAUAUGAUUACCUUGAAUGUGAUUUGGAAGGACUUCCUAAAUCUCAUUCAUACUUUGGCUAGAGAUUCUUAAUCAUAUCAUAGAGUAUUCUCCCUCAAAAGAUUUGAAGGUUAGAGAUCCCUUGUUGCGCAUUCACUUGCCUCCAUGGCUAAGUGGCUUAACCCCAACUAUGCCGUGGACACCCUCGAAUGGAGUGACUUUGACAUAAUCAAAGAUCAAGGACUUAACCACAAGACAACUAUGAUGCCUCAGGUCUAAGGACUACUUUGCAUUAUCCCAACCAUGAGUUCUCAUGUGACAUGAAUAUGAGAACUCUUCGUUGAUCGUGUUCAGUGAACUCAUUCUCUAUUGAGCACCUACGUACUUGUCUUGAUGUCACACAUACCAAUGACUCGAGACUAGUCACUCUCCCUAAGAGAAGACACAGUACGUACUGAUCUUAACGGACUGUCAAUGCCCAAUUGGCAAUCCUAUGAUCAGGAACGUUUAGGAUAUGUAUACGAAAGAAUGGUCUCAUGAAUCUAACUUCUUUAGAUUGCAUUCUCCCAAUCACAUAUUCCUUGGACUUAUCGUUUAAGCAUAUAACAUGUAUAUGAGACGACUCAAACAAUAACCUUUUGCCCUUUAUAUUUAAACUACAUUAGUUUAACUUGUGAAAUGUCCGUAAAGUAUAAUCAUAUGAUUGGUUUUAGGGCACAUUUCCAACAAGACCCUGCAGUUGAUCCUGUACGGUUAAUUCUAUAGCUCAACAUCAAAUCCAUCCUGAGUCACCUCGGUGACCUGUACGGCACUACACUGCAUAUACAUCAGAACUACCUGAAGUAGUCUGUACGAUAAGGAUGGUGUAAUAAUAAUACGCUUUAAUGCUUCCCUCAUCAAACAUAUGUGUACACAAUCUAAGGUCACCUAUCAGUCGGAACCUUCUCAUGGUCUGUAUGACAUGUCGGAACCCUCUCAUGAUCUGUACGACAUGCACCUACUUGGAUCCAAGGUGAGCGUGCGGUGCGAGGUGAAUAAUAUAAGCACUAACACCAUGAUUGCAGGUUAUGAGCUAUCAACAUAAUACAUAUCAACAAUGCACAUGAAUAACAUAAACUCACCUGAUACUCACCUGUGCGUCCACAGCACCAAUUCACAUAUAUAUAUAUAUGCAUCAAUUAUCAAUUCAUAUAACUCAUAUCAUGCAUGCAUGGCAUUUGAAAACGUAUUUUCGUUCAAACUCAAUUUCUGGGAAACAUAUCAAUAGUAUAUAGGUAUAAACAGAAAUACUGCCCACUCACUGAUAAGUCGAAGGGUCGUAACCCCCGUGACGUCCCUGGAUGCGCUCGUCCUCGGGAUAGGUGUCACCUAUAUGCGAAAUAACUAUAAAAACGUUAUUUUAAAGCAUAUAACCAACAAUUCGUAAUAACUUCUCAUACGGUGCUCAAAUCGGGUAUAUGAAUAUACCACAGUGACCUACUCGAUGUCACGGACGUCGACAAAUUUUUAAAAUAAUUUAUGGGCUUGUCACGCGCCCCCACGCACCGUGGGUGGCACGGACCUACACGCCCCCCACACGUGUCUUCUUCUUCCUCGCGUCGCCGGCGCCGGAAACCUGCAACUCGACCUUUCUCACUCAAUUCUUCACCAUUUUUCAUGAAAUUUUCACCUACGAGCUCUAAAUUAAGAGGGGAAGGGAUCUAUACCUUUAAAAACUUCCAAAACCUUCAAAAUCACGUCGGGAAAUUUCACCCAAAACUGGCCACCCUCGAACACAGUGAUCCCGACUUCCAAAACUUCCAAACGAACGUCCCUGAGCUUCGUGAGAACCUCCUAAAGCUCACUACGAGCUUGGAUUGUCCUAAAAAUCAACCAACACAAAGUUCAUGAACAGUACCAAAAUCGGUGCUUGUGAUUUCGACGUGAAAUCGAAAGAUUUCUUACCUGAAAUGGGUGUGGUUGAGUUCGUAUAGUCCUCACGAGCACGAUGGUACCUUCACAAUCUUCGAUCCGUGCUUGUAGGCUCAAGGGUGAGUGUGUCCGUACGGUUUCGAGAGUGAGAGGGAGACUGAACGGAGAGGAGAGAGAGAGAGCACGGGGAAGAAGGAAGGAAAGGGUUGUCCCGAGUGUGUGUUGUGUGGUCCGUCCAAAAAAAACAAGUCCAACUCACAACCCUAGCCACACAAACAUACAUAUCACUUUAUUAAAUAAAACUUAAUUCAUUUCCAAGGAUUUAGGAAUGUAUGUUUUAAACCAAUUAUAUGUCACACACACAUACCUUAGUACCUGCUAAGGGUAAUCCCGUCAUUUCACGUCCUCGAUAAAUCAAAUCUCAGGACGGGCUGUGACAAAAGAUGACCAAGAGGGUAUCACCGCUGCCAAGCGUCAUUGAGAAUGCGAAUUUAGUGGAAAACGACGGCGGGUUGCUAAGAUUCCUAUCAACAAAUUUAAAGGGUUUUCUGCGGAGGAAAAGACUAGAGCUUGAGACAGACGACUGCGUAAGGUUGACAUAGAAUCCACCGCCUGCUAGCGCAACAUCUCCAAGGAGGAAACUUUCGGAAUCAAAGUUGGGGUUGCUACUGUUGGUUAGGGGUUUAGGCUCAGAAGAAGAAAUGGGUUCUACAACUAGGGUUAGGGUUAGGAAAUAGGAGGAUGAGAUGAGGAAAAUGAAGGGGUACGAAUAGGAAGGAGAGUUUUUUUUGUUUCUUAAUUAAUUCUAAUUUUUAAAUAAAAAUUAAUAAUUUUUUUAUUCUAGUUGGCGAAUGAGUAAGCCCUGCUAUUGCUAUGUCAUCGUUUAACAGUUAAAUUGACAAAAAAUUUAAUGGAAGUCUGAUAUUGCAACGAAUUCGUAAGUUGGUAUGACAUUGCAAUGUUGAACACACGAGGUAUGAAAUUGUGGUUCGACCUAUAGUUGAGGUAGUUUUGUGUAAUUUACCCAAAAAAAUUAUAUUUAAUGUGUACAACUUUUGCCACUACCAGUCCUCCACUACCACCGCCACCACUACUGUCACCACAUCCUCACCGCCACAUUUCCAUGGGCAUCACCGCUACUCUCACUAUUGUAAGCGUUGCCAACCCAACAUCAUCUUCCUUGUCAUCACCACAAUUUUUCUUUGACCAUGAUCACAACUAUUGUUACCACCAUUCCUCUACCACCACCAUUAUUGCCACUGCCACCCAUCGCGUCGCCACCACCACCUCUACUAUAACACACAUUUCUAUGGCCAAUAUUGUCACCCCCACCACAAGUGUUGCCAUCACCAUCGUCGUUGCCACUGCCGUCAUCAUCGCCGCUGCCACCACCACUAGCAGAUUUACUAACUACUCUCCCAUUUAUAUAUUAAUGAAAUUUAUUUUCAUAAAUAUAUUUAAUAAAAUAAAGAUAAACACAAUUUUUUGUUAAACUCUGCUACGAAACAAUGGGAUGUAUUAACAUUUAAAUCUUUUAAUUGAGCAAAAACCCAUUUUAGAGCAUGUCCAAUUGAUAAGUGUAAAGUUAAGAUGUAAAAAAAAAAAAUUAUAUUUACAUUAUCAGAGACGUAAAUGUGGAUUUUGCUUCAACUAGGGAGAUAAAUUCAAAUUUCAUCUCACUUCUUGUUCAACUCAUGUGGAUAUUGCUUUCUUUUCUCUCUUGUAGAUCCCCAAAUAAUGAUAUAAUUAGAUUUAAGACAACAAAUGUGAUACAUUAUUAGGAUUAGUGCAAGGGGUUUAUUUUUUAUUUUUUAUUUUAAUCAGAUCCACUGACCAUAUUUCCAACUCGACUUCUUUUCAUUUCUAGUUGAUGAGUCAACCUAUGACACCUCGACUCGAAUUUUAGUGGGCACCGAAAUUACGGAAUGCUGGCCAUAAUUCGGAUAGGUGACAAAGCCAUGAUAUCCAUGAAAUCAUAACAAAAGUUGUCAAAUAUCAAAAUCUACCAAAAAUUCAACAAAACUUCCCCUAAAUAGGGAUAAAUCCAAAUUAAAUCACUCGCAAGGAACCACAUUUAAUUCAACUCAUUCCCGAAGGGCCACACCAAUGGGUCUCGCCCCCAUAUUACAUGCUACAAAUAAAGCCGAGUAAGAAUCCUACUCUGUAAGAAUAUAUCAGAACCUACGAUAUGUACCUCGACAUCGGAUACGAUUGUUAUGACUACUGAGUCUGGUGCCAUGGCAUACAAAAUCAUGUACCAGCCAUAUUAGGGUAAGCUGAAAAUAUAAUCAUGUCAUUGCCGAGUAAUCUUAAGGCAAUGACAAGCUGAGAAUAUAACUGUGUAAUCAUAUCAUUACGGGUAAUUUCAACAUAAUGACAAGUUGAGAGUAUAUUUGUAUAACCAAUGCAUUACGGAAUAAUCUCUACGUAAUGGGGCAAGUUGAGAAUGUAUCUGCAUAACCAUGUCAUUACCGAAUAAUCUCGAUGUAAUGACGAGCUGAAAAUGUAUAUGUUUACGAAACAAUCUCUAUGUAAUGACAAGUUGAGUAUGUAUAUGUAUAUGUAUAACCAUGCCGUUACGGAAUAAUCUCAAUGUAAUGAUAGAACGCAAAUGUAUUUGUAUAACCUUGUCAUUACGGAAUAAUCUCUACGAAAUGAUAAGCUGAGAAUGUAUCUAUAUAACUAAGCUGAGAAUGUAUCAUACAAGUGUAAAUUGAAUACCAUGUCCGUAGUAUGGACAAGCUAAAUAAUAUAACCAUACAUUUGUAAGCUGCAUACCACUCUGUAAUAUGGACAAGCUGAAUAAUAUAACCAUAAACAUGUAACUGAAUACCAUGUCUGUAGUUUGAACAAGCUAAAUAUGUAUAUCAUACAACUAGUGUAAUUCGUAAAACAUAACUGAAAUUCAUAUUUAUCUAGACAUGCUUCAAAAUUUAGAUAAAUAAAACAUUCUCUGAAAUUAAUGUCCACUCACACCUCUCGCUAACUCUCAUUUGAGGAAUCUUGUUGUUGUCAAUCUGGUACAAUUUGUAACUGGACCGAAUCCCAAUAAAGUCACAUCCUAGACUCCUACACAUGAUAAACCAUUUACUUUCAUUUAAUCUUAUGGCUGCAUCUAACUUUCAAGUUAGAAUGCCUACAUUCCUUAUGAAGGGAUUAAGCCAGUUAUAGUUCAUUGUUUGUUAAGCUCUAAAAUUUCUCAAAGCAUUAAUUGGUAGAAACAUAGAGUUCCAGAAUCACUCAACAGAACCAUGUAUGCAAUAAGAUUUUGAAUCAUUGAGUGUUGAAGUGUUAAACCACUUCACUAGAUGAAAACUAGGCUAGGACUUCACCUUUGUGUUCUUAUCCUAAUGAUUUGCUAAAUUUAUUGUAAAAUGUAUAGUGAACCAUUACCACAUGCUCUCCAAAUCGUUUGAUGUGUGUAACACUAUUGAAAUAAGUUUCAAGAGAUACAGGGGGAGUUUAAGGACCAUAUGACUAUUGUAGUCAUAGGAGAAGUCAAAUGAAGAUGACAAAAUAACUCCAAGGGAACAAACGUUUUUUAUGAUAGGAUGGACACUGGAAGAGGUAUUUGUAAGAAAUGUCUUGCAAAUGUCAAGAACACAUCUUUCGAAGGUGUUGUAAAUUAAUAGUUCAAAACUUUUUGAAAUAGUUCAAAACAGCUGGUUCUUCUACUUGAAUGUUUGAUUCUAUAUUAUUAACUAUGUUUUGCAAUCGUUGUGAAAUAGUGACUAAUAUGAAGUAGAAGAUUAAUAGGAGAACAGAAAACACUUCACAUUCGGAACGUGAAUAAAGAUAUUGAUCUCUGCUAAAGCAGUUAGUAUGAACUACCAAAGAAAUUGGAAAAACAAAGAUUGUCUUUACAUUCCAAUUUGAAUAAGGAAAUUAAUUCUAUCACUUUAGUUUUAAGAGGUAGAUGAAUGUUUUAAUUGACAAAACAUUGUUCUUUAUUAAUGAAUGAUUGGAUUAUGGUAAUCUGAUUAAUUGUCUGUAUAUUGUAGAGAUGAUGCGAUAGUUUCAACUGUUUAGAAUAUAAUGAUGCUUAAAACCCAAAAGGUUACAAGAUAGUGACUAACCCUGCUAAGUUGUAACACCUCAAAAACAUAAACAAGAAGUUGGCUAUAGAUGGAUGCUUUAGAUCAUUAGGUCCAGAUCCAAUGCCUUCUUGUUAAACUUUUACAAGGGCGAAAUGUUCGAAUCUUUAUUCUUUUGGAAAAAAAGAAAGAGUCACAAAGUUGUUGAGGUUAAUUCACUACAUAAUACUACUCAUGUUAUAUGACAUUCACCGAAGAUCACUCUCGGUUGGACUAUCAUGGCAUUUGUCCACAACAUAAUAAUACUCAUGUUGUAUGCAUUCACCGAAGAUCACCCUCCAUUGGACUAUCGUGUAUUUUGAAUAAACACAAGUCCGAAUACUUUGCAAAAGGUUUCAAAGAAUUCAAGAAUGUAAGUUGAUGAGUAAAACGUCUAAAGUAUUGAUCUCCUUAGAUUUCAAAAGAACAUUUUAUAAGAGUUUUCUUGAAAGCUAUCAAGGAAAGUAGCAUCGUAAGAUAAUUGAUUUCUUUGUUAGGAGAAGAGCGAAAUCUAAUUGAUAUAGUUCGUUAAACAUUGUCAAAUUACCCAUAUAUAGGAUUUACACUUCUAAGACAAUAUAAUUGUCAAUUAGAAUGUCUUCCAAAAUGUUUCAUAACUCAAUAGGAUGUAGUUGGAAAGAAAGACAACUCUUAAUCGAGUUAAGAUUUGGGGUUGUGUGCUAAUAAGUAAUAUUUGUUUGAGAAUAAUCUUAUGGGAUAUCCUUAAAUUAACAUUUGGAUAUCACUUUUAUAAACCAACUAACAAAAGUUGUUUGUUGGGUAGUUCAUUGCAAUCAUACAAUAGGAUUUGUCUACGAUAGAGCAAAUGAACAAGAGAUAAAACUCAAGGAAUGGGUUCUUUGAGAGACAAGAUGAUACUCAACAAACUUAACAAUAUAAUUCCUACACUACAAGCUCCAAGGUAGUCGAUAGGAUCUAUAAACCGUCUCAGUUGAAUGGUUUGAACUUUAUGACUAUAUCCUAGAGUUACACCUCUUAAUUUGAAAGAAAUUAGAAUGAAGAUCCUUAUGACUACAUUGAGUGUUUGUAUGACAUAUACUCAAGGAAAUGGUAUAACAACAUUUGACCCGAAAUAGUGAAACCUUCAAUACUAAUUGGUAACUUAAGGUGACUACAAUCAAAGAGACUAGUUGACUUGGAAGAAACCAUCUUUGAUGUAGUCUUGGUUUCAAUUAAUUCGAAGAUAGCUUGCUACAUCGAAAUAGUGAAUCAAUGUUUGGACAUAAUAUGGGUUUCCUAAACCAUUAUCAAGAUAGUCUUGAUGAUAUAUGUCUACGAAUCAUAAGAUGUGUAAGUUGUAGAGAUUCAUCAAUCAUGAAUCUAAGGAAGCUGGUUGGAGCUAUAAGUGUCUCAUGAGAAAAGAUCGAAUCCUUUGAUUUCUUGUAAAGAUGUAAAUGAAUCUUUUGUUUACUAGGUUUACAAAAGAUUAGUGGGAGUUAAUCAUAUUCCUAUGUUUGGAAAUGAAAGGAAUUCUUCUUCGAUAAAGUUAUGACUUUAAAUGUUUUAUAAUGAUAGGAUGUAUAUGGGAGACAUUGUCUAUAAACUUGGGAUGGAAAUCUAUAAUGAUAGAUUUCAAGAUAUAUUAGAUUAUCUCAAUCCAUAUUGAUAGACAAAAGAUGCUAGGAAGUUCUCAAAUGAUAAACUUCAAAUAGAAGGACAGGUCUAGUGAGACUAGGAAGUUGCUCUUUUAAAAGGGAAUGUACCCUUUGACUCUUAAGGAAACAUAAUGCGUAAAUAGAAUCUUUUAUGCAUAUGCAGAAAGGUGAUUUAUGUAUUUAUAUAGUAUGAAAACAUUGAUAUGAUGGGUACCUAGAACGGUACAAGAUGAUAUCAGUGCAAGCCCAAGAUCAGAACCAUGACAACUAUCAAGUGAGUCUUUAUGUAUUCAAGAAAUACUAAAGGAUAGGUUCCUCAACAAUGUAAAAUAUAUAACCAUAUGGAAGCUUACAACAAUGUUGUUUAGAUGGGAAAGUUUAUUUAUGAACUCUCCAUUUGGUUCCAAACAAGAUGUGCCACUAGUGUACCCACAUUAAACACUAAUAGGGCGAUAGCUCAAGUUAGGGAAUCAAGGUUUCAUCAAGAUCCAAAUGCAAUUAAGAGACUGAACCACAUGAUUGAGAAUCAUGUAUAAUGAUGACGUCAUUAAUCUCAAGGUUACUUCUAUGGAUAACAUAUAUAUAUCCACUAUCUAGGCCUACUACUCAUCUAUUGUUGAAAUGACUUCAGAAGAGGUAUCAUCAUUGAUGACACAUCUGAUUGGCUCUAGUGCAAGUCGGAGAUUGUUGAAAAUGUGCCCUAAACCCAAGAAUAUGAUCAUACUUUACGGACAUUUCACAUAUUAAACUAAACUAGUUUUGUGAAACCUCGUCCUUGAUUUAUCGUAUUUUGUACUAUUGAAUUUAUGAAAUUACCAUUGUACCCUUAAGUUGACUUUCGUUGACCAUCUCAUCGAAAUGCGAAGUCUGAUUUUAAUUAAAUUAUUUGUAUCAUACUUAUUGCCACGAAUGCGUAGGCGUAAACGGAUUUGAAAUCGGAUGUGUAACAAAGAUUCUACGUUUGAACGUCAAACGUUUUCAGAUAUUUUGUGUUUUAUAUUAUGCAUUCUUAAAUUAUGAACCAAGAGGACCCACUUGCGAUUUUUGUCCCCUUAUCCCCUUUCCCUAUCCGGAUACCCCUUUUCCCUUUUGAGAUUUCCCUUAUCUCUCUCUCUCUCUCUCCCUCACUUCUCACUUUCUCUCAUUCUCUCUAUGAGCUCCAUCUGCACAUCAACAAACCACCAUCACCUGGACUUAGAAACCUCGAGGACACUAAGGACGUACUUUGUGAAUUUUCCGACGUAGGUAGGCUUCUAUAAACCCUUGGGAUGUGUUUUAGGGUUAGAUCAAAACUUGUUUUAAGUUGUACAACAUGUUAAACACAGAAAGUAACUCAGAGUAGCUUUUCCCAGUUUUCCGGCAAACAUUGCCAGUUUCAAGGUGUUUUUCAGCCAAACCACAUUGAGUUGGUCGUCUUUCAAGGUACCAUUCUCUUCAUCUUGUUGAGAACUAUGAUUUUCCUUUUUAAAUGACUUGAUUUGGUUAAGUAUGGAAAAAGUUAUGAGUGUUGGAAGUUCUACCCAGAAAUCGGCCAACCCACAGCCUAAAACUUUUCAACCCGACCCGAUAACCCUAAACCGAUCCAAGCCUAACUGCUACCCAGCCUAACCCAGAGUUUCAGCCCACUAAGCUAAGCCCAAACCCAAACCUUAGGCCCAACCCAUAACCCAGAUUUGACCCGAUCGAAUCCCAGAAUCCUAGGUAGCAGGUAUGUCCACGCGUGGGCACCUGUCUUAGCCAGCAUGUUGAGUACACGCGCCUCCACCAGAGGUACUGUGCUCCGUCGCCGUCCACAGCAGCGCCGUCAACUUUUUCGUCCAACUUUCGACGCCCUUGGUGGUGCGUGGGGGUACCUGAGGUACCCUAUUAUAUGUUUUGAUGUCUUGAAUCCAUUUAUGACGUCCGUUUUUCGAAAUUCAAUCAUCAUGGUAGAGUUUUAUUAAUUGGACCCUUUAUGUGCUUAGGUGCGUUUAUUAGCGGCGUUUCUGUCCUUCCUAUUUUGCACGGCUUUUUGACGACAGAGUAUCUGUGAUUGGACCCCUUCCAAAAUGCAUGUUUAAAUUGCUAGAACUGCAUACAUGAAAAUCAUGAUUUUAUGAAACGUUUACGAGAAAAUUGGAUUCAUGUGUGGGCCGAAGUAACUAGAUGUUGUCUAGAACUGAUACUCGAUAUGAUGCGGUGUUCAAUGUGAAAUGAUGCUCAACUAGAAGUAGCACAUGUUGUGAGGCUGUUCGGCUUGUGGCUUAUGUUGCCUUGGUUGGCUCGACUUGUGGCGUUGAAGGUGAGGGAGUCAUUUUUAUAGAAUAAGGGCUCGCUCCUCAAUCCAUAAAUGAUGGGCUAGAGUUGAUGCUGACGGCGAGGCGGUUGCUCAGCAGGUGGUGAUGCUCUCUAAUGAUGGCCAGAAAGUCCCUUUUAUAGAAUAAAGGCUCGUUCCUCAAUACAUAAGUGAUGGGUUAUGAGUGAUGCUCGCGGCGAGGCGGUUGCUCAGCAGGCGGCGAUACAUUCUAAUGAAGGUGAAUAAGUCCCUUUUAUAAAAUAAGGGUUUGCUCCUCAAUACAUGAAUAAUGGGUGCUCUCUAAUGAAAGUGAGGGAGUCAUUUUUAUAGAAUAAGGGUUCGCUCCUUAGUACAUAAAUAAUGGGCUAAGUCCCCCAAGUAUUUUUCAUGAGGCCCAGUUGCGGCGAGACAGUUGCUCAGCAGGCGGCGAUGCUCUCUAAUGAAGGUGAAGGAGUCCCUUUUAUAAAAUAAGGGUUCGUUCCUCAAUACAUGAAUAAUGUGUGCUCUCUAAUGAAAAUGAGGGAGUCCCUUUUAUAGAAUAAGGGUUUGCUCCUCAGUACAUAAAUAAUGGGCUAAGUCCCCCAAGUAUUUUUCAUGAGGCCCAUUUGCGGAAGCCCAAUAUAUGGUACAUAGUGUAGUCCCCCAAGUCUUCAGUCAAGAGAGUCUGUUGGCUGGAGACUUCAAAUUCAAUCCAUGUAUGGGCCGAAGUGGCGGUUGUUCGGAAGCGGUCUUUGUAUACCAUGCACUGAAGCUUUGUAGGUGAAGCUUUGAAAGUGAAGUUUUAUAGGUGAGGCUUUGAAAUUGAAGCUUUGAAGCUGAAGCUUUUGUAAAUGAAGCUUUGAAGUUGGAGCUUUGUAAAUGAAGCUUUCGAAGCUGGAACUCUGUGAAAGAAGCUUUCGAAGCUGGAGCUUUGUAAAUGAAGCUUUCGAAGCUGAUUGACAUGAGUGAUGCUUAUGAAUGUUUAUGUUGAUUGACAUGAGUGAUGCUUAUGAAUGUUUAUGUUGAUUGACAUGAGUGAUGCUCAUGGAUGUUGAUAUGAGUGAUGCUCAUGAAUGUUGACAUGAGUGAUGCUCAUGAAUGUUUAUGUAUGAUUGACAUGAGUGAUGCUCAUGAAUAAUUUUGGAGUACUCAACGUACUUUUGAUCACCUAGUUGGUGAUAAUAGCGGCAGGCUGCCGAAUAAUUUUGGAGUACUGGACGUACUUUUGAUCACCUGGUUGGUGAUAAUAGCGGCAGGCUGCCGAAUAAUUUUGGAGUACUGGACGUACUUGGUUGCCGAAUAAUUUUGGAGUAUUGGACGUACUUUUGAUCACCUGGUUGGUGAUAAUAGCGGUAGGCUGCCGAAUAAUUUUGGAGUACUAGACGUACUUUUGAUCACCUGGUAAUAACGACAGGCUGUUGAAUAAUUUUGGAGUACUGGACAUACUUUUGAUCACCUGGUUGGUGAUAAGCAAGUGGGUGUCUGAUCAGACAAGAGAUCACCAUGACCACGUGGCUCAUCAGUCUAUAAGUUGGUAGACUUCUGUAAUCAACAACAAUGUUGAUCAGUAGAUCUAGUUGCUCAAUAAUUCCUGACAAUAAAUGACAGUACCGAGACUUAGAUAGAUAACCAGUCAGCCUCGUCGCAGUGUUGUUUAUCCAAAUUGAAGGUGCUUCGCGGUCGGCUGAUUCUACGGCUACAGUGCUAUUUAUCCAAACUGAAGAUGUUCGUCAGUUGCCUUCACAGUGCUAUUUAUCCAAACUGAAGAUGUGUCGGCGGGAAAAAAAAAUAAAAAUCUCAAGGUUGUUGAGAGGUUUUGCGUAGAACGAUAGUUUGUGCAGGACAAUUUGUGUGUUGAAUUGGAGGGGUUGGCAUGUUGCAUAUCGUCUUAUAUUUAUAAUAGGAAGGUCUCCUUCAUACUUUUUAGCUGCGACCUGCCAAUACGUUUUCCAAAUUGCACCCGUCUCUCUGUGAUGCUAUCGGAAUAUUCUUGAUAUACCACCAAUGACCAAACCAAAUCCCUUUUGAUCUCCUUGUGAACCUAAAUAGAAAUUCAACGCGUAUGUCGAGCCCAGUAACGUGGCCUUCCAUUAAUAUUAAAACAACUCAUCCAGCCAUGAUAUCUAAUUCCACACGCUUCAACAUGCAAAGCUAAUUGCAAGCAGAUCGCAAUAUCACCUCACUUGUGAUUAUCACUUCUCAUUAUUUUUACCUCAUCAUUAUCCCAUACAUGCAUGAAGAUCAUGCAUCUUAACGAUUCUGAUCAAACCCAUGCUGCUUCAAUACGAUGACAAGAAUUCCAAUCACGUUCGAACCACCGCUUGCUUGGGGAUAUAAUAUGCAUCCUAUCUAUCCUAUUUAAAAAUAUGCUAAGAUAAUUCAUAUUAAAAGAUAAUUAUUAUGAUAAAAAUCAUAAUAUUAUCCUUUAACAAUAACAAAAUUAUCUUCACUUUCCAUCCAACGGUUGGGAGCUAUGCUCAGUCAAUGGCCUUAAUUGCACGGGCCGAUAAUGUAGUUUUAGGUCCAAACAGACUUUUAUGAUUAUAUUGGCACAUUUCAAAGUUAAGCCCUUCACGCAAGUUGUAAAGCUUAUCAUUACGAGCGUUUAUAUAUAUUUUUCUAUAUUUUUCACACUUCUACAUUAAUUAAAAAACUAUUAAAGACUUUACUUAAACAAUAGUCAUAGGAUAAAUGAGAAGAGAGUGCUAAUGUAGAAAGCCUCACUGAAAAUAUCAUCAAUAUAACUCUUGAAGACAGUAUUUCAAACCAAAGUUCCCCAUUUCCCAUGGUGAUUGAUGAAAAUUGAAGAGUUUGAUUGUAAGAAAACGUGCAAGGUUCCAAAUCUUGAAACAUAACUCCCUUAAUUUUGCAAAUCUUUUGAACAUUUGAUAUUUUGUAAUGUUCUAAUGUUUUUUUUUAUUUUUUAUUAUGCUCUUAUUUUGGGUAUGUAAAUAUGUAAUACUUGAAAGACAAAUGCGUUUUUAUGUUUUGAAUGUGAUAAUAUGGUAUGUAUAUACUUAUUUAGUAUUAUGUUUUUCAUUUGAUUAUUUAUUGGUUUAAAAUAUAUUUUCCUUAACGGAUAACGGGUCAGGUCAUAUUACCUGUUAAUAUUAUCGGGUUGAUUUCGGGUCGGGUCAUUUUACCCGUUUAUUUUAACGGGUGUUACACGAUACGACCCGUUAAGAUAUUGAGUAUGACACGAAAACAACACGAAUACGGGAAACACGACACAAAUGCCAAGUCUAAUUACGGGUCAACAUUUUACUAGAGGUUUCUAUUGUAUCAAUCUACUCUUGUAGAGGUAUAUUGUAUCAUUGAAGAACACAACACAAAUAGAGAAGUUCAUAUAAGUUAUGCUAAGCUAGAGAUAAAGAGUAGAAUAGGGAGAGUUAUUUUUGUACUCCUACUAUUUCAUAUAAUGAGAGAAAGUACGACUGCUGCUCCGAUGAUGUAGACACACUUGCCGAAUCUCGUAAAUAUUAUGUUAUAUUUAUUUUAUAUUUCACUACACAAAUAUCCUCAAUUUCACAAUAUUACCAAAAUAUUUACAUUUCCUAGUCAAAAUAAGUAUUUCAUACUCCUUUAAGAUUGUUCAUUGGUGAGAUUGCUGGCAGAUAAGAAAUACAUGUGUUUUAAAUCUUAAAAAGUAAAAGACAAAAAAUAUUAAAAAUUUUGGGUAAAAACGUAUAAGCAUGGAAAUGCCCUCUUGGCUAGUGCAUGCCCCACCUAUGUACGGUGCACUUUAGCACUCAUAAUUUUUUUUUUCAUCAGUCAAAGCACUCAUAAAGGUGUUUUCCCAAAGGAGCGACAGACUUCAGGCCAAAGAAACAAUAAAGGAAUAAAAGAACAACGAAUUCACAUGUUAUUGAAAUUUAUUACAACUAUUUCUUAUUCUUAAAUCAGUGAUGGUCAGAAUUGCUGAUUUUUUUAUUUUUUUAUUUUUUUUAUAUCACUUCGUAAAGAUUAUUUAAGCAAAAAAUUCAAUUAAAAUUAAGUGUAUUUAAUCAAUUAAUUAUAACAAAUAGAUAGACUGUUAGUAAUGUUUUUACUUAUUUCGAUCGUCUGCUUUUAUAUAGCUUGAUGGUCAAACGAUCUCAUAAUUUAUCAAUUUUUGUAGACAUAAUCAUUAUGUAAUAAUUUAUAAUAUUAACGGUUUUUAUCAUAAGCACAAAGUUCUUUAAAUUAAUCACAAAGUGUUUUAAGAAGGAAUUCCUUCUCAUCAUGUUUGAGUAGCCAAAUUAAUUCCAAUAAAAAAAUAUACUUUUGUCUUAGAAUUUGAACAAAAAAUAAAUUCAUUUGAUAGAAAAUCAUUAACAACAGAAAAUUUUAAUUUAUUAAAUUUAAUCAAUGAAUUGGUAAUAAAAUACACAUCAAAUUUAAAUUUUAAAAGACAUUUUUUAGUUACAGAACACGAACAAGUAAGAAUUGAUUUAGAGGAUCGAAUCAAAAUUUUUAAAAUUAUUAUUUGAUGCAAUUAGAACUAUUUCCAACGACAAAAGGGUUAAAAAAAAUCUAUUCGAAUAAAAUAAAUUAAUAAGGCCAUUUAGUCCAAUAGUCUAGUGAUAUUUCUGUUGACUUGUAAAUGAGAGGUUUUAGGUUCAAUUCUCCCCAAAGGCGAAUUUGAAGUACAUUAUUGCUACCCAAUUGUGAGGUUAGUCCAUCAUUUCUCCCUUAAUGUAAAUACUAUCGUAUGUUCAAAAAUAAAAAAUAAAAAAUACAUUUUCAGAAAAGAAAAAAAAAGUAACACAUUGAGAGAAUGAGACAGAGAUUAGAUACAUGCAUAUGGUCAUAAUUUUGAGCACCCAUGACCUACAAGUUCAUCAUUUUCAUAGCCAAGUAUAGUUGGACAACCAAAUCCAAAUGAUUUCAAAAGUACAUUGAAAAAAAGGAUCCUAUCUUUUACACCAAUAUAUCUAAUAGCAACUGCUACAUAGAAUAACACCACCAAACGAAGAGGUAAAGCAGAGUCAGCACACCAAUACUCAUUAAACCAACAACCCCGUUAAUGGCCUUCAUGUUCAAACAUAUUUAAAAAAAAAAAAAAUUGAUUAUAAUUUACCAAUGUACGCGUAGUCAACUUGAAUAGAAAAAUAUGCUCUAUAUAUACAUUUUAAUUCAAAAUUUUCACUUCACAUUUUAAAUUAGAGAAAUUAGAAUAUCGCUGAAAUAAAAGAUAAUAAUCUAGUAUAAUUUCUCACAAAAAUCUCAAAGGUAAACAAUGAUAUACAUAAUCCAUAAGACCACUUGGAAAACAUUGCUUUCAUGGAUGAAAAAUGCCCCAAAAAAUUGAAAGUAAUUACAAGAAGUCAAGAGAUGUGGAAAGAUAAAUUUGAAGCAUUAGAGACAAAGAUGGUCUCCUAAACAGAAAAUACUAAGUAAUUAACAAAUACUUAUCUAUUGUGGAGAGGAUUUGGGCCAGUGUAGAUGGUCCUCUUUUCAACACCAAAAAUUUCAUCAUCAUUAUCACCAAGUUUAUGAUCUGCAUUUGUCUUGAAAACAGCUUGGGGUGGAGGAUUAAGGGGAUUGAUUUCAGAAGCUGUUGUUGUUGGGAUUGCUUUGAAUCUGCUAGGGAUGGACUUUACCUUAUAAUUAUUAUAUCCAGCUGCUGCAAAACAUGGAGUCUCCAACUGAAGUAGCAUCAGAACCAGUAGAGACAAGCUAGCCACCUCUGUUGUUCUCACUCCUAUCUGCUGCUUCCUUUUCUUACCCCAAUAAUCUUUCAUGGCCGCAUAUAUAUUUAUGGACCUCUCUUUCUCUCUCUCUCUCUCUCUCUCUCUCUCUCUCUCUAUUCUUCAACAAGUGAAGAUAUUGGUGGUGUGUGAGGCAGAGAGAGAUGUAUAUGGUAUGGUAUGGAAGGAUCGAUAUGGGUGAGGAAACUUUUUGGGUUGUUUGGUUAAAAGUCAAUUGAUUUUAGUGGGUGAGAGUCAAAAUUCAUAGGAUUUAGAACCGCAAAACAAAAAGAACAGAAAAAUGCAUAGGAUUUGCAGCAGCUGCUGCUUGCUUCUGUAAAUAUGGUGGUGAAACUUACUGAAAAGGGGUGUGUGUCGUUGGAAAGUUGGAAACUUCUUUUGCUACUAAUUUAGCGCCAACUAGUUUUUGUUCUUGGGGAACGCUCUACAAAUGAACGAAAGCUGUACAAAGGGUUCCUGCUCAACCUUUUUAUUGAUCUCGGGUAAUGUGAGAUUAACUAUUUUUUUGGGUUUUACUUUAUUUCUAAAGAAAGGUUUUGCUAGAAAUAACACUAGUGUGGGAGCUGCCUUGGAACUAGACUUGUUAUUCGUGUCGUAUUUUUCAUGCUCGUGUCAUUUUUAUGAUAUUUGAUAUCUUACCUGGACGUGUGUCGUGUAACACCAUUAAAAUAAACAAGUAAUAUGACCCGACCAGAAUCGACCCGUUGAUAUUAACAUGUAAUAUGACUUGACAUGUUACCUAUUAAAGAAAAUAUAUUUUAAAUCAAUAAAUAAUCAAAUGAAAAACAUAAUACUAAAUUAGUAUCUACAUACCACAUUGUUACAUAAACAUACAUUACUUCAAAGGGUGUAAUAUCCACACACCCUUUUAAUUUUCGGCCAUUGGAUCAGAUGAAUUGAAGAAGAUCAAAGGACAUAAAUUAAUAAGGAGUGUGUGAGAAGUAAAAAAAUUCGGCCGUUGGAUUGGAUUAAUUGAAGAAUAUCAAAUGACAGAAAUUAAUAAAGGAUGUGUGAGAAAUUAAAAGGGGUUUGUGAAUAGCACACCCCUACUUCAAAACAUAAAAACAAAUUUGUUUUUCAAAUAUUACAUAUUCCAAAAUAAGAGCCUCAUGAAAAAAAUAUUAGUACAUUACUACAAAAUAGUUUUUUAAUUGAUAUAAAGGUUUGAAAAAUAUAAAAGAAUAUAUAACCGCUUGUAAUGACAAGAGCUCUACAACUUUUGUGAAGAGAUCAUAUCCGAAAUUCGGCACUAUAAUCCCAUAAACCAUAGAUUUAAAUUUAACCAUUAAUUGUCAUUUAUGUUUAUGCUCCAUUCUUCUCACAUAAUUUCAUUUUUUAGAUUUUCAUUUUUUUAAACUUGUGCAAAAAGAAAAACAAUUUGGAUCGUUCAUAUCAAGUUCAAAUUUUUACAGUUAAUGAAAAUAUUGAUUGGUGUGUAUAAAGUCUCUAGAAACUAUAUAGCAUCAACACAUAUUUUAGUUAACCGUAAACAUUGGAACGUGAUAUCAAUGAUAUGAACCGUUCAUUUUCUGCAUCCGCUAAAAUGUUAUGUUUUAAAAAAAAAGAAAAUUUGAAAAUGAAAUCCGGUAAGAAGAAUAGAGCAUAAACGACAAUUGAGGGUUAAAUAUAUAUCUAGGGUUUAUGGAUUACAGUGUGGGAUUUUGGGGUUAAGCACUUCACGAUAGUUGUAAAACUUGUCAUUGCGAGCAAGUAUAUAUUUUUUUCUACAUUUUUCACAAUUCUACAUUAAUUAUUAUGAAUAUUUAUUAAUUUUGCACUAAAACAAAAAUCUACUCAUUAGGGUUAUAAAAAUCUAAACAACGAUUUAACCAUUGUCUAACCAUGGAGAACGCAAUCACGAGCGUUUAUAUAUCCUUUCACAUUUUUCAACUUGUACAUCACCUAUUAUGAAUUUUUAUUUAUUUUGAACUCCCUCUAAAAAUACUAUUCAUGAGGGUUUUUAGUAUUUUAAAGUUCAAACGACAAUAUACCCAUCAUCAAAGCGUAGAGGAUGCGAUUACAAGCAUUUGCAUAUUUUUUCACACUUGUAAAUGAAUUAUUAUGAAUUUUUAAUGUGCUCUGGUAUUUUUAAAUUACUUUGUAAUUUUAAUAUGCUUUGGAAAUUUUUAAUCUCAGGGUUUAGUUUAAAAUUAUCAAACUAACUUUGUUGAUGCACAAACUGGAGGGGUCUUGGAACAACGUAAAUCCGACCGUGAAUCUGCAAGAAAGUAAAGAACACAAGAUGUAUCGUGGUUCACCCUAAUGUUCGGUCUACGUCCACACUGAUUAUUGUAUUUCUCUGAGAAGAUUGUGAGGGAGAGAGCCUCUAUAAUGUGAGAAUGAGGCUCUUUGAAUGUGAGGGAGUUUGUGAGGGUGAGAGGGCCUCUCCCAUGGCCUAAGGAUUGGCCUCCCUUAAUGAGGAGAGUGAGGGGUCCUUUUAUAGAAUAAGGGCUCCUCACUUAUUACAUAUUUGCCCCUUCCUUUAUUACAUAAUUAUAUUUAAGUCCCCCGAGUAUUUAUACGAGAUCUAAAUACGGAGGCCCUAGUUGCCUUGGUUGGCUCGGCUUGUGGUGUUGGAGGUGAGGGAGUCCCUUUAAUAGAAUAAAGGCUCGCUCCUCAAUACAUGAAUGAUGGGCUAGAGCUGAUGCUUGUGGCGAGGCGGUUACUCAGUAGGCGGCAAUGCUCUCUAAUGAUGGUGAGGGAGUCCCUUUUAUAGAAUAAAGGCUCGCUCCUCAAUACAUAAAUAAUAGGCUAAGUCCCCCAAGUAUUUUUCAUGAGUGCUUUCUAAUGAAAGUGAGGGAGUCCCUUUUAUAGAAUAAGGGCUCGCUCCUCAAUACAUAAAUAAUGGGCUAAGUCCCCCAAGUAUUUUUCAUGAGGCCUAGUUGAGGCCCAAUAUAUGGUGUAUAAUGUAGUCCCCCAAGUCUUCGGUUAAUAGAGUCUGUUGGCUGGAGACUUCAAAUUGGAUCCAUGUAUGGGCCGAAAUGGCGGUUGUUCGGAAGCGGUAUUUGUAUACCCUGCACUGAAGCUUUGUAGGUGAAGCUUUUCAAGUUGAAGCUUUGAAGCUAGAGCUCUGUAAAUGAAGCUUUCGAAGCUGGAGCUUUUGUAAAUGAAGCUUUUGAAGCUAGAGCUUUGUAAAUGAAGCUUUUGAAGCUGAUUGACAUGAGUGAUGCUCAUGAAUGUUUAUGUUGAUUGACAUGAGUGAUGCUCAUGGAUGUUGACAUGAUUGAUGCUCAUGAAUGUUGACAUGAGUGAUGCUCAUGAAUGUUGACAUGAAUGAUGGUCAUGAAUGUUUAUGUAUGAUUGACAUGAGUGAUGCUCAUGAAAUGUUUAUGUAUGAUUGACAUGAGUGAUGCUCAUGUAUAAUUUUGGAGUACUGGACAUACUUUUGAUCACCUGGUUGGUGAUAAUAACGGCAAGCUGUCGAAUAAUUUUUUAGAGUACUGGGCGUACUUUUGAUCACCUGGUUGGUGAUAAUAGUGGUGGGGUGUCGAAUAAUUUUGGAGUACUGUGCGUACUUUUGAUCAUCUGGCUGGUGAUAAUAACGGCAAGCUGUCGAAUAAUUUUUUAGAGUACUGGGCGUACUUUUGAUCACCUGGUUGGUGAUAAUAGUGGUGGGGUGUCGAAUAAUUUUGGAGUACUGUGCGUACUUUUGAUCACCUGGUUGGUGAUAAUAGCGGCAGGCUGCCGAAUAAUUUUUGUAGUACUGGACAUACUUUUGUUCACCUGGUUGGUGAUAAUAGAGGGCCUGGCUCUUUUGGGCAUAUGGGCCUUCGCCCUCCACAUGACAUUCCAGCCCAUUAUUUUGGGCUUGCCAUUUUUUAUUUUUUAUUUUUUAUUAUUAUUACCCUCUGAUGGGGUUAUACAGAUAUUUUCGAAAGAUACGAAAAAUAAAUUAAAUCAUUCAAAAAUAAAUCCAACCCUCUGCUCAAUGGGUCACGCCCAUAAUUCCCUUUUCUGGAUGCCAUCACCACCACAAUUAUGUCUGCUUUUGCUUUCUGCUUUUACUUUCCUUUUUUCUUUUCUGCUUUGCUUGCUUUCUCAGAAAAUGGGAACAUGCAUGAUGAAAGUGUGGGCAUCUUCUUUGUUGCUUUUCCUCUUCUGCUUGUUGGUUGUAAUGGUCAGUUGGCAGAUGGCAUACAAAAGGAAUAAUAAUAGGAUUGUUAUUGAGAAAGCUUAUCUUUUUCCUGUUUUCCACUAGUGCUCGUGGUAUUCGCAGGAGAUGGGAUCUGAGCAUCAACAAGGCCGCUAACAUGAGCCAUGUCGCAGGAGAUGGGAUCACCGCUAACGUGAGCCAUGUUGCAGGAGAUGGGAUCACCGCUAACGUAAGCCAUGUCGCAGAAGAUGGGAUUUGAGCAUCAACAAGGCCGCUAAUGUCCCCUGUGCCAGGGAAAUAAUCCCCAAACUUAUGAAAUGAAAAGGUAAUGACCCUGUCUGUCGUGUAAAACGUCUCCUCAACACCGUCUCCAUGGUGAAUAUCAAUAUACUUUUCGGUGUGGUGCAAACCGCCAGCCCAAUUAAUUGAAAUAUCGUAAAUCCCAUGGUUGAGCUUUACAGCGCCGCUGACCGACCCGCUGGCGUAAGUCUGGCAAAACGAGUACAACCCAUCAAAGGCAGGGCAGUCCUCGUCGACAUUGAACCGCUUGAGCUGCCGCAGCUGGUCCUGGAAUUUCGUUAGAGCCUUACUUAAAUAAGGCCAUGGUUGUGUGCCAUCCUGUAUUGCAGUCCUUCAAGAAUCAUCAAAAUUUUUCUGAUAUUCAUCUAGCACCCCUGGGGCGGUUUGAUUUAAUAGAUCGAGAAAGCGAAAAGAAAUCGACGGUGGUCGUCAAUGGCAAGGAAAAAGAGAAACGAAAAGAGAAUGAAGCUAAACGCCACGUGUCUCUCUUCUGGUUUGUUUGUCUCUCUCUUUCUCUCUCUUCUGGUUUGGCAGGCUGCAAGUUUCGCCAACUCUUGGAUCAGUGUCGCCCAAGGCCUUGAUAUGGAUCUUCAAUCCCUCAUUAUAGCCUUCAAUGGACCGGUUCAUUUGACCCAGCAUUGAACACGUGUCCCCGAGCUGUAUGUGCCUAGAGAACGCAUUGAGCGCGCCAUCCACCACGUUUUGGAAAUCGGGGUGGGUUCGGAUCUAUCCGGAUCGGGGUGGAGUCAGGCGGGGUUUUGACGGAAACUAAAAUGGGCGGUAACGUCGCCGACGCCCUAGAGGACGCUAGAGCUGAUGACUUGGGUUUUGAAUGGAUGGAAGGAGAGGCUGCGACUCUGUGUUGUGGUGGCUGCGACUCUGUGCUGUGUGUCAUUUUUUGGGAUUUCUUCGCCACGUUUGAGGAUUUUGACCUCAUCUUCCAGAUCUCUGCUCCGCUUCUCAUUUGGAUGCGGCAAUGGGUUUCAAAACUUAAACUCGGGAAGGUGGCGAACAAAAGGCUUAAACUCAUCAUAACCACUUGUUGGCAAUGAAGGCCCAUCCAUGGACUCAAGCUCCGGGUCAACCUGUGGCGAGAAGAAACCAAUCAAGAGAUUCAAGACGUAGAUCCCCAAGCCAUAGGAGACAUCAUAGAACCCCAGGACAUAGUACACACGCAUAAUGUAAAUCACAGCCAAAACUAGGGUUCCAAGCUAUCUAUUCAUAGUGUGAGGCGUUGACCGAUCCAAAUAGUACUGGAAUGUUCUCGCAAAAUCGCUCCGCCAUUGGGCCAGUGGUGCCGCUAUCAUUUCUAAUUCCCUCAAUCGAAUCCGGAUUCUGGCGAGGGAGUUAGGGUACGGAGUCGUAUAAGUAAGGAAGUGUAUGUGGGGAGGAAGAUGGAGGAAGAAGGAGGUGCACAAGAGGAGCACAUGGUUAUUGAAAGCUGAAUAAGAUUUGAGGAUUAGGGUUUUGAAUUUAUGGUGGGAAGUGAGAAAUGAUGAAGCUUUGUAAUUGCAGGAGAGAGAUAGAGGAAAUGGAUUUGGUGUCUUCACAGCCUUCCCUACUCAGUGUGGCGGAGAUUUGAGCGUUGGGGUUUUUUGCAGAUUUUGCCCAUUUUGCAGAUUCACGGUGGAGGUGAAAAAAUGAAAGAGAACCGACAUAGUUUUUUGUGUCGAUUCCCACAGACGGCGCCAAAUGUUGAUGCACAAAACCGGAGGGAUCUUGGAACAACGUAAAUCCGACCGUGAAUCUGCAAGAAAGUAAAGAACACAAAAUGUAUCGUGGUUCACCCCAAUGUUCGGGCUAGGUCCACACUGAUUAUUGUAUUUCUCUGAGAAGAUUGUGAGGGAGAGAGCCUCUAUAAUGUGAGAAUGAGACUCUCUGAAUGUGAGGGAGUUUGUGAGGGUGAGAGGGCCUCUCCCAUGGCUUAAGGAUUGGCCUCCCUCAAUGAGGAGAGUGAGGGGUCCUAUUAUAGAAUAAGGGCUCCUCACUUAUUACAUAUUUGCCCCUUCCUUUAUUACAUAAUUACAUUUAAGUCCCCCGAGUAUUUAUACGAGAUCUAAAUAUGGAGGCCCUAAGUAUGGUACAAACAAACUUUUUUCUUAAUGGGUUACCUGCGUGUAAACCUAUUAAGAACCUGAUUAGUUAUCGUGUUGACUUGAAACCCGUUAUUUUCGUAUUGUGUUAACAAGCUGUAUAAGAAAUUGUCAGGUCUACUUAGAACAUUAAGACAAGUCAAUACAGUUGGUCUUCGGUGCCAAUUUACUUUUAGGAUGUUAGUAAUAUUUUCGUUUGAAUUUUCUCAGUUCUCAUUCUCUUCUUAAGAUGUUGGUUGAUGAUCGGAAUCGCCUACUUUUUAGAUUACCCUUUAAGUAUCAUCUGUGCAAAAAGAUAAAAAAUAAAAUAAAAUCCGAGAAUGUUUAGUCAUCUAAUGGUUAUCUAAUAUAUAGACGACCCAUAUUUCUCACUUAAACACUGAAAUUUAACAACGUUAAGCGAACGGUUAACCCACUUCUUCUUUGGUUGAUUUUUUGUAGGAUCUUUAAGGGUGGACUAGAAAGUAGUUAGUUUCAAUCAUCAAGCAACAUUGCAAAAUGCGAAGGAGGCCCAAAAAGGUAGAAAAAUAAGGUUUAAAUGAAAAGGUUGCUAUCAUCCCUUUUUAUUUUUGGGGCAUGUUUGUGGAGCAAAAAAUAAUCACAAGGCGACACGUGGAUUUUUGGACAAAAGAGGACAAAAAUACCCUUGAGCUACAACGGGAUUCCUACGUGCGAGCAGCGGGCAAUCAUCGUUCAACCAAAUAAAAAUGCCCAAAAUAGGUAACAAAUUCAAAAGUAUUUCAUCCAUCCACAUCCAUUCACGUGGAAGAGCAGCCUAGACCAGCAAGUCACGGUUGGAGGCAGCUGAGAGUUCCACUACCUUAACAAAGGCAAAUUCAGGAAAAAAUACAGAGACUUUUGACCAAGCGAUUGCAUAAUUUCCAACAUAAUGAGGUCAUCCAUGAGGCACUAUGACGGAACAUGACUAACAUAAGCAGGUCACCCUUCAUGGACGAGAUCGAGCAGGCAGAGCCUCCACACGAGUUCAGCAUGCCGUAUUUCACAUAUUUCAAAGGGGAUGAAGACCUGAAGAGACACCUAAAGCACUAUAGAAGCGCAAUGAUCUUUUAUUGAAACAACGAUGAUCUCAUGUGCAAGAUAUUUAUCACUACUCUACAAGGUGAGGCGUAAGAUUGGUUCUACACCCUGCCGCCACAAUCCAUUCGGAAUUUCGACGAAUUUUCUUUGGUUUUCACCAAAGAAUGUUCAUCCUGUUGCUCGAUAAAAAAGAAGUCCGACCAUUUGUUCGACGUCAAGAAGAACCCAAAGGAGUCGCUUCGUGACUAUGUGAGGAGGUUCAAAGUAGAGAAGCAAGGAUAGUCAGAUGCAAUGACUCGAUAGCUAGAGCAGCUUUCCAAAAAGGACUUCUAGCAUACCACCACUGUUCGGAAAACUGAUAAUGAAAGAAGAUCUAACUUUGGCAGUCUCUUUCGCUCUGGCAGAAAAGCAUGCACUUUGGGACGAAGUUCGUCGAUGCCCAUUCAAGGCAAAUUCGAGCGAUGUUGAAUGUGAAGUUCCUCAAUACUUUGAAGAAGAUUCAAAGUCUGACUGGACAAGCAGCCGCAUCUGAAGCAGCAAUAAGCUCUACUAUCAUACGAGAAGAGUUAGGUUCCCAACUACUUGUAUUCUACAGUUUAAAAGCUUUCCUCAAUGCUAUCAGUUUCAUCCUCAUGACGUACUAUUUUGCCCAAUCCAGACGCGCGACGAUAAAGGUGUAGACCUUGGUGGAUGUAAAGUUUUCUGAUGAACGUAACAACUCGGCCCAAAAGACAUGCCAAGGGUAGACAAACAUUGGAAGGACACACUCGGAAGCAAGUUUUGUCCUCUUCACCCUAAAAGAUUCUACAUAAGAGCAACAUGUAUCGGCAGUCGAGUACCACAUCCUGCUACGCACCACAUGGCCUUAGUCGACCCUUGCUCAAUGAUUCAACUCUAGAGUGGCCCAAUACCGGUAGUUGAGCAUCUCAUGCUAUGUGUGACAUGGCCCCAGCUCGACGGCUCCCAACCAUGCAUUUAUGACGCAACAGAAUGACCCAACGACGCCCCGGAAAUAGCCAAACACACUCUAGUUGCGCCUACUCCACCCGAUGGAGACUUCUGGCAUUUGCAUGUCGACAACGCAUCCAACUACAAAGGUUCAGGAGCAGACAUGGUCCUUGGCACCCCAGGCAGUUCAAUGCCCGAGCAGGCGAUCAUUCUAUGUUUCAAAGCAUCUAAUGACGAAGUAGAGUAUGAAGCCCCACUAGCAGGCCUUCGAAUGACAAAAGACUUGGCGGUGAAAAAGCUUUCAAUUCAUUCCGAUUCCCAGCUAAUCACCAGCCAGACUACUAGGGGCAAAGGCAUGAUGAUCGUGGCAAUUGACUACUUCACCAAAUAGGUAGAAGCAGAGCCAAUGACGACCACAAUUCAGACGGACAUAAAGCACUUCAUAUGGAGGAACAUCAUUUGCCAAUUUGGCAUCCCUUAUUCCAUCGUCACUGACAACGGCCCGUAAUUUGUGGGCAAAGAUUUGGCGAAGUUCUUCCAACAAUAUGUCAUCAAGUAGCACAUGUCUACGCCAAGAUAUUCUCAAGGCAAUAAGCGAGCCAAAGCAUCCACCAAGAUGAUCCUUAACUGCCACAAGAAAUCCCUUACCAAUAAGAAAAGAAAAUGGCCAAACGAACUCCCUGGAUGUCUAUGGGCAUAUCGCACCACCAAAAGACGAGCAAUCAAAAGAAUAUGGCCACAAGCUUAAAUCUGGCAUAGGAGAAGUGCGAGCAGACUAUCACUCGCAUCGCAGCUUACCAGCAGCAGUUCCUCUCCACCUACAACAAAAGGGCCAAGAUCUGGCAGCUCUAGCCCGGAGUUCUAGUCCUAAGAAAAGCCUUCAUCACUACCUACAAAGAAGGCUCCAAAAAGAUGGAUCUCAUCUGGGAAGGUCCGUACAAGAUCAGUAGAGUAGGUGGUAAGAGUAAUUACAUCUUCACCACCAUGAAAUGAUAAAAAGAUAGAAAAGUAGUGGAGCGCCUACAAUCUGAAGAAGUACCAUGUGGGACCUCCCAUUACAUCAAAGCCUGAAGACUCAAGAAGCUCAACGAGUACCACUUCAUAAGCCGAGGACUAUCCAGUUGUUAUGCAGUUUCUACCUUACAGCUAAGUUCUCGUUCGUUUCACUUGUUUUUCAAUGAGGAAUUCUGCACUUCAAAAGAAGAUUGUGCCUUUCUUAGGGACUCAUCACAGGAAUUAUGCCCCUUAAGGGACCAACCAUGCUCUCCAGUGCGAGAGGGUAAACUAAUUUCUUUCCUGUGCGAGAGGGUAAACCAAUUCCCUGACACCCACAUGGGUCAGCUCUCCAAGACGGGAGGAUAAACUUUACACUAUGAAUAUCCAGACGUGGAUGAGUCUGGCUGCCCUAGUAUAACUAGAUGCACGAUGGCUUAUGCCGGGAUUCCUAGAAGUACGCUUAAUGGUUUUUUUUCAAGGCUUAGCUAACUGAAGGAUUUUGGGUCUCUUGGCGUAAUCCGCAGGGAACCGGGCCCUAGAGACGGAGGGGGCACAUUAUGCAGUACGCCCUAUAGACGGCUACCCUGGAACCCUAAAGUUGCUACCAAGUGCACUAGGGUAGCCUACAGUUUCCUGAAGACUGCCUACAGCUUACCCUUUGAGCAGUAAAGCUGCGCUAGACUUAUACAACCGCACAUUCUUGUGAAAGGUUAAACAAGCUAGCGCGCAUAUACAAAGUUUUAUCCAUUGCCGACAUGCUACGUAGUCGAUAAGCUUCACCUCUGCUAAGCGAGGAACAACUUUCACUAAGUCCUAAAGUAUUGUGAUACUUGCUACGCAAGCUACGAAAUUGGAGAAAGCCAAGGCUAACAGCCUCGUGGUUACGUGGACUUGUCUGCUUCUGUAAGUAAGGCGUCCCGCUGCCAACCUUAUGGCUAAUAACUUGGCAAAGUUCUACACCAACACUUACGACUACAUAGGCUACGCGAGCUUGUCUGCUUAUAAAAAAGUAGCAUGCCUGCCACUGGUCUAUCAAGUCUAAAGGUUAGGGCAUGAACAAAAGAAGCGAAGAUGAAGAAAAGCGAAAGAAGCAUGUUUAUAAACAAUUAGCAAAGGCCGAAGGGGUUCAAGCAAAACAGGAGCUGCAAGGAAAAACAAAUAAAAUCCUAAAGGCUACCUAAAAAACUACAGUAGCUUGGACAUCCCAUGACUACUCGGUCACCACACCUUCAGCUGCCGCGACGCUCUUAAUAGUGGCAUCAUCCGACGCUUCUCCCCCGGCUGCCCCAGCCUAGGUAUUAACUUCUCCAACUACUUCACCAAUGGAAGCCUCAAAGUAAAAGCAAGCAAGUCUUCCAGAGAAAUAGAUAAGGUCUCGAAACCUCAAGCUCAUCCUUCUCACCCUUCAUCUACUUAUUCUUCUCAAGCAGACCAAUACGAACGCGUUGUAGCUCAUCCACUUCCUUCUUCCAACGUUUGUUGAUCUUUAGUACACCUUGAAGUUCCAACACUUGGGGUUAAAGCCUAUCAAUGACCUUCUUGAAGUGGAUCACUUGAUUAUAAGCGUCAAUCAACUCUUCAUCCUUUGCAUAAGCAGCGAAACGAAUCCCAGAAAUUGCAAACUUAAGAUCUCGAAUCUGAGCUGCAGAGAAGUGGGGGCAAAAAUAUUAGACCCCUUCAAAGCAACAAGCUUAAAAUCCAACCUUUUGAUCUCCUUAGCUGAGGAAUAAGCUUCAGCUGCCAUAGUCUUCGCCACCACCUUGGCAGCCUUGCUAUAUAUGCAUCAUAGCAAGUAGAGCAGUCCUUUUAUAUUGGGUCGUAUGCUGUAAAGGAACUUGGGCAAACAACCUUUCUAUCGUCAUCAACAAGCAUCCAUGUCUUUAAGCAAAUCUAGUUUCAAAAGCACACAAAUCUCAGCAGCCUUCCUAGAAGCAGGCUUAGUGGAUUUCUCACAGCUGCUUACGUGAGCAAUCUCUUCUUUCCUAGCAGGCAAAUCAGUCUCAGCAGCAAAGGGAAUGGGUUUUGGCGCCACUUUAGCAGUAGAGUCCACCUUAUCGCUAUUCAUAUUAGCAAGCUUCUCCAAAGGUGAACCGAACUUAGCUCCCAACAGACAUCUUGGUAUAGACUUCGGCAUUGGGGGCAUGACAGGACCUUUAUGCUGAGCAAUUCUAUCAGUAAUCGUACUAGCCAUUCUCGAUAUGGCAGGCACCACAGGCUCAGAUCUAGCAGCCUUAUUUUUUUCUUCCUAUUGGAAGAAGUUAUGUCAAUCAAAAGCAUCUCGACAGCAGGAAGACCCUCAUGAGCAGCGGAGGAAGUCUUCAAUUUUUCUCGACCAGCAUCUCUUGAGCAGGCGGGGAAUAUCUCUUCUUUCCAUCUUCAUUCAUAGUAGGCUCCACAACAGCGAUUAGACGAGCCAAUGCAUCCGCCUUGAUCUUCUUUACCUCCUCUUUAGGGAGCAGCCCACCUUUCUCUCGGUAAAAAGAACUCAGUAGCCAACGCCAUUCACGGUACUCAGCAGAGGAGCUCAACUUAGCAUUCUAGUAGGCAGGAGGCCUGCAUACCUAGCAUUCCAGUAACCUAUAAGGCCCAUGACCUCUUCAUUUCUUUUAAUCACCAGCUUGGCCUAGUAAGGUCCAAGAGCCUAAAGGACAUGAGCCAUAUAGCUCGCCUAGCACUGCGCCCCAGCGCCAUAAUCCAUGGCCUUGGCCGCACAAGCUGCCCUUGGCUCUAGCGAAGCCAAACAACCCAAGCAGUGGCCUCUGCCACGAUGCCUCAUCGACUCAUGCCGAGCCAACUCCUGGCCCUUGCCAGCAGACGUGUCACACCAGCCCGACGGCUGCCCCGUAAUAGCACUAUCCAAUAAGAAGACAAGAAAAAAAUAAUUUUUUCUUACAUCGGAACGACACGGAGAAGACGAAGAAAUCAACGAAAGACGGUCCUUUACAUGAGCAAGAUGUAGAAGAUUGCUAGAGGAAGGGGAACAAAUAUCCUCUAAACUUUUUCUCUCUUGUAGGGUAGAAUAAAUCACUCUCCAAAGUUGAUUUAAUAACCCACUUAAGGUGGACUUAAAUAGGCUUUGAGAGAAAUUUAUUUUCCUUUCCUAGAAGGACUUAAUUUCCUAUUAAAGAGAGAAUCUACAUCAAAAUAGGAAGCAGUCCUACGUUUCCAAAAUCAAGAUGAUCUCUACACCUGCUGCCCUUUCCUACGAGCAGCCUAACAGGUGUGGGGGCAUUUGUGGAGCCAAAAAUAAUCAUAAGGCGACACGUGGAUUUUUAGACAAAAGAGGACAAAAAUACCCUCGAGGUACAACGGGAUUCCUAUGCGCGAGCAGCGGGCAAUCAUCGUUCAACCAAAUCAAAAGUGCCCAAAAUAGGUAACAAAUUCAAAGGUAUUUCAUCCAUCCUCAUCCUAUAUUUUCCACAAGGUAAUUAUUACAUAACCUUCAAAACAUCCCAUAUAAAUUACAUAACUCCCAAAAUAUUUAUUCCAAAAAUGUGUUGAUUAACCAAUUAGUGGAUUAAUUGCCUAAUUAAUCCAUUAAAUCACAUAGUAAACCAUAGGUUACACCCUAUCCCUAUAAAUAGGCUCCCAUUUUCACCAAAAGAUCAUUCCAACACACUUGCAAAAUUCCCAAUACUCUCCAAACACUUUUCUUUCUAAAUUCUAACUUUGGCAUUGGAGGUUCUUCGGCCAAAGCCCCCCCCCAAUUCAUCGUGGGCACGUGAGGCUCUUGACCUUGACCCUAAGCUGUUAAUUGUUUUGUAGGUGAAAUUUUGUCCAAGAUCAAGGAGGAAGAAAUUUGCAUGCACAAUGUUUAUAUACAAUUAGUAAGGAAUAAAUAUCGUUCUAUUCAUGUGUUUACUUAGAUGUUUUACAAUGGAUUAUAAGUGGAGAAUAUGUAAAUUGUAUAUGAAUUGUGGAAAAAUGUGUGGGAAAAGGUGUAAUAUUAAUCGUGUAAAGUACGUACGUCUGUGUAUAAUACGUGUAUUGAUGGCUGUGAAUAAUGGCUUGCACUUUCCAUUGAUUGUGAAAGAAAUCGACUUAGAGUAGCUACUCUUCUGGUUGUCCUUCACGUUCGAGGGGACUUCAUCUUCAUAGUGGCCUUGAUAUAAUCCGGAUUAGGAUUGAUUCUGUGCUUGCUGACCUAAUAACCUAAGAACUUUCUUGACGCUGCUCCAAAAGUGCACUUUGUCAGAUACGGAGUAGAUCGAAAGAUUCUUGCAAGUGUGUAAGGUGAUCUUUCUUCUCCUUUCUCUUGGCCCCCAUAUAGUCAACGUAUAAUUCCAUUGUUUUUUUUUUAUUUCACCUUGAAGAUCCGAUUUACCAACCAUUGAUAGGUUGCCCUAACAUUUUUAAGGCCGAAAGGCAUAACAUGAUAACAAAACGUACCUUUUCGACGACAAAAGAUGUUUUCUCCAUGUUCGGCUCGUAUAUCUUUACUUGAUUGUUUCCAUAGUAUGCGUCCAUGAAGCUCAACAGCUUAUGCCCCCAAGGUAAUCGACGAGUAAGUCUAUUUGAGGUAUAAGAUAAGGAUUUUUAGGGCACGCCUUGUUCAAGUCUGUGAAGUCCAAACAAACUCUUUCCAUUUCCCAUUCUUUUUGUGCAUAAGGACCACAUUCGCUAACCAUUCUAGAUGAUGAACUUUGUUAAUAAAGUUGGCAUCUUUGAGCUUAUUUGUCUCCACUUCAAUGAUCUUGUUCCGCUUCGUUUCAAGGUUUCUCUUCUGUUGGACAACUGAGUUAAUGGUCGGGUACACAUAGAGAUGGUAAUAAAUAAUUAAAGGGUCUAUUCUAGGCAUGUAUAUCGCGAACAAAGCGGAUACAUUCUUGUUUACUUGCAGGAAAGCGGUGAACAACUCUUUCUCUUUAUGUGACUAUCUUGAUCCAUUUCUGGCUUUGCGCUUCGGCUUAUCGAGGUUGAGUGUGAUGUAAACAACAUCCUCAUCCACUUUGGAGUCGGAGAGUUUUCGUCUUGGAGAUCAAGGGGAAUGUUGAAUUCCUUAUAGCUCAUCUCUUGACUUUGAAUUCAACAUUCCCCUUGAUCUCCAAGACGAAAACUCUUUAAAUGCUAUAAGGAAUUCAGAGAGUCAAGAGAGUCAAGAGAGAGCACUUUGUGUUUUACGAAACAAUAACUAGAUGUAAUCAAUUCAUAUCACAUAUAUGUUCAUGGCUUUGAAUUCACCUUUAGUUAAAAUGAAAUUAGUUCCACAUGUUUGUAAUUAAACAAAGACAAUUAAAAUUAAACACUGGAAACAAAAGAUAGAAUACACCUAGAAACGUUCCAACAAUCCAAAGGUCUUGAAUGGCAGGCACGACUCCGAGCUUCUUCUUCUUGUCCUCCUUUGCAAAGCUAUGGCACUAUGUAUAUAUUUUUAUCUCUGAAUUUCUCUUUAAAUGCUCUCUCUUAACUUCUGCAGCAAUGGUGUAUUUAUAGGGCUAGGGCACAACACAAAGUUGUAGAGGAGAAGGAUAGGCACGGCAGAUUCCUAGGGGGAAAGGGAUGGGGUGGUUCGGCACAAAUUUAGGGCUUCUAGAACUAGAUAACAGGUGGUUUAAUAUGCAAAGGAAUUCCCCUUGCAGCUGGAAAUAAGGUAGGAUAAGAUUAGGAUAGGAUGAGAUAAGAUAAGGCUAGUUUGGAUAAUGUUGGAUAAGAUAAGGUUGGUUAAGAUAAUGUUCCUUCUUUUUAGCUGAUUCCUUAUCCUCCAAGUCUUGAUUUGAUUUCUCCAGAUUUGUAGCACAUGCCUAGCCUUUUUAAACUUCAAAAACGUCCAUCCAUUAUGCUCCAUUCAUAUGUUGUCCAUUCCAAACCCAAAACUACUCUAAAAUGCUGCAAAUUGCCUUUUGUUGCCACUUUUGCCAUUUGAACCUAAAAACACACAAAAAUGGCUUAAAACACUCUAAAAAGUAGAAACUAACUACAUAAAUGCAAGGAAACAAGCUAACUAAGUCGCAUAAAUAUGCUCAUAUCAUCUUCUAAAAACUAGAACAUGGGUCUUGAUUGGUUGCCUAUCCGGAGUUGAAGUACUCAAAUUUCUGAAUCCUAUGAAUGGAACUUGAGUAUACAUAAUGGUUCUACUAGCAUUCUCCAAGGCCUUUGUUGAUGCACAAAAUCAGUGAGGACUUUGGUACAACAGAAAGUGUCAAGUUUGUGACCUUCGCUAGAUUGCUCUGGUCACUAGUGUGGAUAAGUAUGUAAAUGGAUUGAGACAGGGAAGCAAACACAAGAUGUACGUGGUUCACCCAGAUUGGCUACGUCCACGGAGUAGAUGAGUUCUCAUUAAUUGUGAAUGGUUGAUGCGAAAAUUAUCUAAACACACAAAUUUAACCCUCUUUUGACAAUUGUAGUACAAGUAUAAGUAGGGAUCAUUCUGGACCGGGGAUAAGGAGGGCUUACUAAUAACCUCUAAACUGACUCAAAAACAUAAAACUAAACUUAAAAACACUUAACAAGACUCACAAGACUCAAAGCAAACUUAAAAUACUCAAAACAGCUUAAAACAACCAAAUAAACUUAAACUAGACACUAGGAAUGACUUUGGACGAAAAUUGACUUUUACCUAAAUCAAAACACUUAAAAACACAAACUAAACAGAUUUGAAACACUUUGAAACAAGAAACUAAAAUGGGGGUUUUGAUUUGGAUGAAGUUGAAACAAACAAACAAGUAUGAAAAACUAGACAGAUUGUAAAACAAAUAUGAGAAAUAAGAUGAUGGAUGGGAUAGCUAGAGGCUUUUUCUCCACACAUGACAUGUAUGCAAAUAACUUGAUUUCCAGUUACUACUUCAUUGAAUUAUGAACGACAAUGCUCCAAAUUAACCGUGACAUCACUAGUUAACUCUUAGAUUUUCCUUGUUUUAUUGGAUUGGAUGACAUCAUUCGACAACCCAAAACAUUCUUUAAAAGUUCCCUACAUGACAUCAUAAUAGAGAUACAAUCAAAGAUCAUUUCGUUUAAUGAAAAUCAUAAGCAUUGACAAAGCACUUGCAACUAUGACAUCAUGUCACUAUUGCUAGGAAUUAAACUUAACGCGAUCGUUUAUAAGCGACCACCACUACAUGUGAAUAUAAGUUUGUAACGAUUAUGUGAAACUUCCUUAUAUUCUAGCAACGGAUUUAUUCAUGUAAAUUAAGUGUCGACCCUUAAUUAAAAAAUACAAAUAAGUUAUCAAUCAAAUAGUUAAGCCAAUUGCAUUCACGAUUCAAGAGUUCAUAACUGGAAUUUAUCAAAUUAUAUUGCACACAUAAUCAUGGCUUUGAAAUCACCUCUAGCCAAGAGGGGUUUAGCCACUCAUAUUUACAACAAAAUGAAAGGAAAUGAAUUUAAACAUUAGAAACAAAAGAAAGAAACCACCUAAAUGCUCCAACAAUCCAAGUUAGACAGCAAGCACGUCCAAGCAUUUUCCUUCCUUUCCUUUGCUACGGCACAAGGUGUUGGUGAGUGUUUGAAGGUUUGUUUGUAUGGAGGAAUGGAUGUGAAGAUGAAUGAAUGUGUUUGGAUGAAGGUUGUGUUGAAAUGGGAGUGAAUGAUCUCACCAAGUAUGAACUCAAUUUAUGUUACACACACUUCCUUUUAUAGAGGAAGUGCAUGGCAAUGGAGGGGAACAUGGAGUGGUGUAGCAAUUGAGUGCAAUGAUGCAUGAAAUAUGAAAUGAUUGAAGGAACAAGGAAUGGUGUAGCAAUUGAGUGCAAUGAUUUAAUGUAAUGAUGCAUGAAUCUGAAAUGAUGGAGCGAACAAGGAAUGGUGUAGCAAUUGAGUGCAAUGAUUCAAUGUAAUGAUGCAUGAAAUUUGAAAUGAUGGAGGGAACAAGGAAUGGUGUAGAAAUUGAGUGCAAUGAGUGGUGUUUGAAAUGAUUCAAAGGUGAAAGUGAAGUGAUGAUGCAAAGUAUGGGGGUAAAAUGGAGUGGUGUUGCAGCUAGGGAACAUGAAUGAUUGUGCACAUGGUAGAGAAAGGAAAGGGAGGUGGAAUGAUGCAACAAAUGAGUCAAUGGGAACAUGGAUGAUGAUGCACGGCAUAGGAAUCCAAAGGGAGUGCAAUGGUGGUGCAUGGUAAUGAUGGAAAGGUGAAUGGUGGAGUGACACCCCUUUAUGGCUAAGCUCUUUGUCCUUUUUACAUUAAUUCUUCUUUCUCUUUAACAUAUUCCUAACCUCUUUAGUCUUCAAUUUCGUCCAUCCACCUUGCUCCAUGCAUGUGCUAUUCAUUCCAAGCCUAAAACUGCUCCAAAAUGCACCAAACUGCAUCUUAUUGCUUCAUAAGGCUUAUGGACCUACAAACACACGAAAAUAGCUUAAAAUACAUAAUUAACUAAGAAAUAACAACAUAAAUGCAUGAGAACAAGCUAACUCAGUUGCAUAAAUGUCCUCCUAUCAAGGGUCUACACAAGUACAUAGGUUCAAGCUCUCCUUUAGUGAGUAUUAGUGAAUGAUUUAGUACAAAUGACAUUAGGAAAUAUUGUGAGAGAAAGAUCUCUAUUUAUAGAAAAGAGUUUUUAGUUUCAUUCUAACAUUGACACGUGUCGUGUUAUGAUUGGCUUCUGAUGUCGACACGUGUCUGAUACGAAAAUUAUCUUAACACAUAAAUUUAACCCUCUUUUGACAAUAGUAGUACAAGUAUAAGUAGGGAUCGUUCUGGACCGGGGAUUAGGAGGGCUUGAUAAUAACCUCUAAACUGACUCAAAAACAUAAAACUAAACUUAAAAACACUUAACAAGACUCACAAGACUCAAAGCCAACUUAAAAUACUCAAAACAGCUUAAAACAACCAAAUAAACUUAAACUAGACACUAGGAAUAACUUUGGACGAAAAUUGACUUUUACUUAAAUCAAAACACUUAAAAACACAAACUAAAACAGAUUUGAAACACUUUGAAACAAACAAACAAGUAUGAAAAACUAGACGGAUUGUAAAACGAAUGUGAGAAAUAAGAUGAUGGAUGGGAUAGCUAGAGGCUUUUUCUCCACACAUGACAUGUAUGCAAAUAACUCGAUUUCCAGUUACUACUUCAUUGAAUUAUGAAUGACAAUGCUCCAAAUUAACCGUGACAUAACUAGUUGCCUCUCAGAUUUUCCUUGUUUUAUUGGAUUGGAUGACAUCAUUUGACAACCCAAAACAUUCUUCAAAAGUUCCCUACAUGACAUCAUAAUAGAGAUACAAUCAAAGAUCAUUACGUUUAAUGAAAAUCAUAAGCAUUGACAAAGCACUUGCAACUAUGACAUCAUGUCACUCAUGCUAGGAAUUGAACUUAACGCGAUCGUUUAUAAGCGACCUUCACUACAUGUGAAUAUAAGUUUGUAACGAUUAUGUGAAACUUCCUUAUAUUCUAACAACGGAUUUACGCAUGCCAAUUAAGUGUCGACCCUUAAUUAAUAAAUACAAAUAAGUUAUCAAUCAAAUAGUUAAGCCAAUUGCAUUCACGAUUCAAGAGUUCAUAACUGGAAUUUAUCAAAUUAUAUUGCACACAUAAUCAUGGCUUUGAAAUCACCCCUAGCCAAGAGGGGUUUAGCCACUCAUAUUUACAACAAAACGAAAGGAAAUGAAUUUAAACAUUAGAAACAAAAGAAAGAAAACACCUAAACGCUCAAACGAUCCAAGUUGGACAACAAGCACGUCCAAGCACUUUCCUCCCCUUCCUUUGCUACAGCACAAGGUGUUGGUAAGUGUUUGAAGGUUUGUUUGUAUGGAGGAAUAGAUGUGAAGAUGAAUGGAUGUGUUUGGAUGAAGGUUGUGUUGAAAUGGGAGUGAAUGAUCUAACUAAGUAUAAACUAAAUUUAUGUUACACACACUUCCUUUUAUAAAGGAAGUGCAUGGCAAUGGAGGAGAACAUGGAGUGGUGUAGCAAUUGAGUGCAAUGAUGCAUGAAAUCUGAAAUGAUGGAGGGAACAAGGAAUGGUGUAGCAAUUGAGUGCAAUGAUUCAAUGUAAUGAUGCAUGAAAUUUGAAAUGAUGGAGGGGACAAGGGUGAUUAUGCAUGGCAUGGGUGGAAAGGUGAGUAAGUGGUGAAUCAAUGAGUGCAAGGAGGUGAAAGGAUAUUGUGCACAUGGUAGACAAAGGAAAGGAAGUGGAAUGAUGCAACAAAUGAGUCAAUGUUUUGGACCCUUUUUUAACAAACUUUUUUCUUUUCACUCUUUGUUUUUUUUUUCUUUUCUACCCGUGCCUUAUUAAGGACUUUUGUACACACAGACACACAAGAAUCACUUCCCCCACACUUGCUUUCUGCAAUACAUUGAUAAAAAGGGAGUUCAUUUUAAGUUAUGCUUUACUAUGCCUCAAGAAGAAGGGUAUGGAUGGUCCUAAAACUAGGCUAGGUAAGGAUAGUGUGGAUUAACAAAGAGCAUAGGCUUAACAAGGCUCAACGGGGUUAAACUUAAACACAUAAUGAAAUAGGGGCACGACAAUUUGGCUUUGGUGGUCACUACACAACUUCAUCUUGAAUAUGUGUUAUGCAAAUCAAUAGCAUGCUUUGAAUGAAAUAGGCAUGAGCUCUAGCAUUUGGAACUAAAUGAUGAAAUGCCUUCUAAGUAGCAACCAAGCAAAGAAUAAUGAGAUCAUGCAACGACUUUGGAAAACAAUGAUGCAAAGAUUAUUAACUGUCCAAAUAAACGUUUAGGCUCAAGUCUCACAAGGUUGUAACGUUCAUUUGAGUUCCUUCCUUCAAGCAUGUUACAAAAACUGAUUUUUCCUUUAUGAUUGCAUGUGAAUUCAUAAAUUAUAACCACAACCAAGCAAACACCAAAGAGUAAAUCAAAUUUUCAUCCAUGUUUAUAACUCUCUUUAACAGUCAUGUAAUUAAAAAUCAAAUCCUCAUCAUUGUGUUGGAAGGUACCCUAAGACACAAAUAAACACACAAAAACAACUCUUUUUGGGUUUUUCAAAACAAAUUUUCAAAUUUUUAUGAGAUUUUCGGAUUUUUAUGUCAAAACACACUAAAACACUCCAAAACAGCUUAAAAACACUUAAAAACAGCAAGGAACAACACUAGAAGUAAUGGGCGAUAAACUCCUAUGAAUUUCAUGCAAAUCAAUUUGGUUAUCCCCCACAUACUUAAAUCAAACAUUGUCCUCAAUGUUUCAAGCAUAAACUCACACAAAAACAAGCAAACAAACAAACAACGAAUAAACAUGACAAGUAUGGCAAAUUAAAAACCAGACAGAGUAGAGUUUAAGAAUGCAAAUCUGGUUUUGGAGAUAGAUGAUUUUGUUGACUUUCCACAGCUUUGAUCUCGAACUGGUUUGGAAUUCUGAGUGAGGAAUAUCAGAGUUCCUUGGUUUCAAAUCAGACUCAUUCUGCUGGGUUGAUUUAAUUGUACAGUCUGCAUUCUUCUCUGCUUGUUUCUUCUGCAUGGCAGGCAGGCACGAGGUAGAGGUGAUGGUCUGUUUCUUUCUUUAAUCUUUCCAAGUGCCCACCAUUUGCUUUCUUUCUCCUUGUCCUUAUUUGAGGAUGAAUUAGCACAUUGUCUGCACAUGCUUCGAGGUAUCAUUUUCACUUCCCUUAUCUGUUCCCCAGGCAGAUAUGGUAGACGAAGAGGAAGCAUAAGAUGUUGGAGAUGAGUACUCGAGAGCAAGGUUAGGUAAGCAAUCAGGAAGGGGUUCCAGGCAGUCGGUUCCAGAUCGCAAGAUUGAUACCAAGUGCUGGCUGAUUGCUCUCUUUCUCCUUGUCCCAAAACAACGACAAGGAGAAGGACAGGGAGAAAGCAUGAUAUGAGAUACUCUUGCUUUCAACCUUCAUGAUAUGAAAUACUUUUGCUUUGGAUGAGUUAUUUGCAGAGGUACCCCAAGGAAUGAGGAACACUGAGUGACUCGAGAGACUUCGUUGGGAAGGCAUUCUCGGAGAUGAAGAAAGGUUAUGUAUGUCUGCCUUGCAAUGGAGGGUGCAGGUUGACAUUUAUAGGAAUUAAUAACCGGUACUAUUCUUUCACUCUUGUCAGCAACCGUUAGAUGAUUUAAUAGUAAACUUUACGUGCCUUCUACUUCACAAGAAAUCUUUGACAGCUUGCCUGUAAUUUCUGCAAGGCUGAGUGUGCAUGUGACAGGCGCUAACAUGUCAGGAAAAGCAAGUGCCUAUUUGAUAUCUAGAAUCGGCGCUUCGACAAACUGCCCGUGAUUUCCACAAAGCUGAGUGUGCAUGUGACAGAUGCUGACACAUCUGGAAAAGCAGAUGGCUCUCCGAUUUCUGAGCUUGCCUCUUUGAGUUCUGAGCUCACUUCUUUGAGUUUUGAGCUCCGUCGAAUGCAGAGGUUGCAUGUGACAAAUGCGGACAAAUCUGGAAAAGAAGAUUGGCUCGUGGUUUAUGAGCAAGCCCAGCUUUUGAGAAAGCUAGCGCCUCUUCGAUUUUUGAAUUGGCCUCUUCAAUUUCUGAGCUCGCCUUUUCGAUCUCUGAAAUCUUGUCGAGUGUUGAUUUUUAUUGAGGCGCGCAGUUCGUUUCAAAGCACACUUGAAUUUUUGCCUGUAGAAACUCCCUUCAUUGCACUUCUAAGAUCUCGAUUUGUCCGACCUCUUCUUUCUUCAACAACUUUGAAAAUGUCUGGCCCCUCCGAUAGUUGUUUUGACUUGAACCUUGGUGAAGAGGUAUCCAUGCCUUCUCCAAACAACAUAUGGCGCCCAUCCUUCAUAUCCCUUGCUGAUCCUCUUACCAUUGGGGAUUCGAUGAUGAAAAAUGAUAUGACCACUGCGAUGGUGGCUCGGAACCUUGUCGCUCCCAAAGAUAACAGACUACUUUCCAAACGAUAUGAUAAGUUGGCUGUUAAGGAUUCUCUGGCUCUCAGUAUGCAGUGUGCAGGUUCUGUGUCCAAUAUGGCCCAACGUCUAUUUGCUCGAACUUGUCAAGUUGAAUCAUUGGCGGCUGAAGUGAUGAGUCUCAAACAGGAGAUUAGAGGGCUCAAGCAUGAGAAUAAACAGUUGCACAGGCUUGCACACAACUAUACUACAAACAUGAAGAGGAAGAUUGACCAGAUGCAGGAAUCUGAUGGUCAGAUUUUACUUGAUCAUCAGAGGUUUGUGGGUUUGUUCCAACAACAUUUGCCUUCGUCUUCUGGGGCUGUACCUCGUAGUGAAGCUCCAAAUGAUCAACCUUCGAUACCUCCUCCUUCUGUGGCUCCGCCGACUACGGAGACUUCUUCUAAGCAGCCUUUGUGAAGGCUCUCUCUUGUAUUUUUCUACCUCCUGUUCAUUUUCCACGAAUUUUAAUGUAAAAGUACCUUGCAUAUCUGUCAAUGUUUCAAAAAUAAAGCCACACCAAAAACAAUUAAACAAGCAACAAAUAAAAAUGACAAUCAUGGCAAAAUAAAAAUGCAGAAAAGGGAAGGUUUUUAGGAACGCAAAACUAAUCGUGGAGCAAUUCAAAGAUCUUCCUUAUUUGAAUACAUGGGUUGCCUCCCAAAAAGCGCUUACUUUAACGUCUUGCAGCCGGACGAAACUUCCUUCUAAGCUUGGAUAGGGCCCAUAGCAUGGAAUUGAUCCUCUAAUGGAAGGUGAUACUUGACAUGAUCCGACAAUGGUUUAAAUUCUAGUGUAGGUGCCUGAAUCAUCAAAAUCAACAAGUUAGUAUAAAAUAAAAUCGAAGUUGGAAAAGAUGGCUUACUUGCUUGCUCCGACACAAACUCAAUUACGAACACCACAUCUUUGAAGGUUGUAGGGAUAUGGGACUUGGCCAGAUUUGGUGUUUUGAGAGUUAUGACUUGUCCCGUAUCAUAAAAUCCAACUUCUUUGGGAAUUUUUCAUCUCAAGUGUAUCUUCUUUGAUGAAUUCUAGACAUUCCCCAUCCACUUCUUGCUCUUGAUUCUUUGGAAAGGUUUCGAAGAUGCCUUUCUCACCUUCUUCUUCCUUGGAUUGCAUGAUCGUGCAAGGAAUAAAGACAUUUGGUGAAACUGGGUCAGGACGAAUUAAAUUUAGGCUUACCUUGGUUGUAGUGAACGGUAUAGAAGGCAUAUGGGGUUACGGCAAUGGUGGUUUUUCCCUUGUCGUGGCCUUGUUAUUCUCCUCUUCUUCGAGCAGCAGCUGUUCCUCCAUGUUUUGUCUUGGGUUCACCUUUAACCUCUAUCGCACUUCCCAAAGUGAUAGCAUCAUGGAUUUCAAAAUCUUCCUUCAAAUUUUCAAUAGUUAAGUUGGAGAGUUCACUUUGCUCUUGAAUUUGUGCUGUGAACUCCAUAAUCUCUCCAAGUUGAUUUUUCAAUUCGCUCAUCUCCUUAGCUUGAUUAAGCAUUGUUUCAUUUUGAUUUUGCUGCCCCUGCACCAAAGAGGUUAGAGAUUGAAAAAUUUGAUCACUAUCCGUGGGCAUACUUGAAUUUGAUUGGAAUUGUUGUAGGGCAAGCUGUGGUGGUUGCAUAGGUGUUAAAUAAAACUCCUCAGAUUGCUGCCAAUAUCCAUCUUGUUAAGCCUCCAUGGCUUGAUUUUGUGAGCCCUGCACCAAAGAAUUUAUUUCAUCAAAAAAUCGAUCAUAAUCUAUUGACGAACCUGAGUUUGAUUGAGCAUAUUGUAUAUGAGGUUGUGAUGGUUGCAUAGGUCUUGAAUAUAACUCAUCUUCUUGCUGCCAAUAUCCAUCUUGUUGGAAUUGUUGAGGUUCUAUGUAAUCUGAAUAAUCUUUCCAAUCCGAAUUGUAAGCGUUGGAAAACAUGUUGUCCCAUGAUUGGUUAUGGCCUUGAUAACCCCAAGCAUCUUCAUUCAUAGCGAAUUGAGAACAUUGAUGAGGUGGAUAUCCUUGCCCAUAGGACACACCACAUGUAGGGACACUUUGCAUUGUGGUCCUUUCGGCAUAUUGUGACAAUUGAGAAGUAAGUUUCGCCAAUUGAGCUUGAAUGGUAGCAAAAUCCAUGUCUUACUUCUCUAGUACCUGAAAUCAACCAAACUAAAUCAAAUAUCAAAUGUAAAAAUAAAAUACAUAAACAGAAACAAAGUCAGUAGCUAAAACAAACGACAAAAAAGAAAUAACGAGGGAUUAGCAAAGUUGCUAAUCCCCGGCAACGGCGCCAAAAACUUGAUGCGAAAAUUAUCUUAACACACAAAUUUAACCCUCUUUUGACAAUUGUAGUACAAGUAUAAGUAGGGAUCGUUCUGGACCGGGGAUUAGGAGGGCUUGCUAAUAACCUUUAAACUGACUCAAAAACAUAAAACUAAACUUAAAAACACUUAACAAGACUCACAAGACUCAAAGCUAACCUAAAAUACUCAAAACAGCUUAAAACAACCAUAUAAACUUAAACUAGACACUAGGAAUGACUUUGGACGAAAAUUGACUUUUACUUAAAUCAAAACACUUAAAAACACAAACUAAAACAGAUUUGAAACACUUUGAAACAAGAAACUAAAAGGGGGGUUUUCAUUUGGAUGAAGUUGAAACAAACAAACAAGUAUGAAAAACUAGACGGAUUGUAAAACGAAUGUGAGAAAUAAGAUGAUGGAUGGGAUAGCUAGAGGCUUUUUCUCCACACAUGACAUGUAUGCAAACAACUCGAUUUCCAGUUACUAUUUCAUUGAAUUAUGAACGACAAUGCUCGAAAUUAACCGUGACAUCACUAGUUAACUCUCAGAUUUUCCUUGUUUUCUUGGAUUGGAUGACAUCAUUUGACAACCCAAAUCUUUCUCCAAAAGUUCCCUGCAUGAGAUCAUAAUAGAGAUACAAUCAAAGAUCAUUACGUUUAAUGAAAAUCAUAAGCAUUGACAAAGCACUUGCAAUGAUGCAUGAAAUAUGAAAUGAUUAAGGGAACAAGGAAUGGUGUAGCAAUUGAGUGCAAUGAUUCAAUGUAAUGAUGCAUAAAAUCUGAAAUGAUGGAGGGAACAAGGAAUGGUGUAGGAAUUGAGUGCAAUGAUUCAAUGUAAUGAUGCAUGAAUCUGAAAUGAUGGAAGGGACAAGGAAUGGUGUAGCAAUUGAGUGCAAUGAUUCAAUGUAAUGAUGCAUUAAAUCUGAAAUGAUGGAGGGGACAAGGGUGAUUAUGCAUGGCAUGGGUGGAAAGGUGAGUAAGUGGUGAAUCAAUGAGUGCAAGGAGGUGAAAGGAUAUUAUGCACAUGGUAGACAAAGGAAAUGAAGUGGAAUGAUGCAACAAAUGAGUCAAUGGAGGGAACAUGGAUGAUGAUGCACGGCAUAGGAAUCCAAAGGGAGUGCAAUGGUGGUGCACGGCAAUGAUGGACAGGUGCAUGGUGGAGUGACACCCCUUUGUGGCUGAGCUCUUUGUCCUUUUUACAUUAAUUCUUCUUUCUCUUUAACACAUUCCUAGCCUCUUUAGUCUUCAAUUUUGUCCAUCCACCUUGCUCCAUGCAUGUGCUAUUCAUUCCAAGCCUAAAACUGCUCCAAAAUGCAUCUUAUUGCUUUAUAAGGCCUAUGGACCUAUAAACACACCAAAAUAGCUUAAAAUACAUAAUUAACUAAGAAAUAACAACAUAAAUGCAUGAGAACAAGCUAACUCAGUCCCAUAAAAUACUUCUAUCAGUGUUGCGCUGUGAUUGGUCUCCUAGUUGGAAGGAAACUCUUCUAGGUCAUUGACAGUAUAACGUUGACCGGUGCUCAACAGUUCGAGAUUGGUCAAGUAUGGUACAAUUAGUGCUCCCUUAAUUUCUCGAGUGAGGGAAGCUCCUCGGUUGGGGACUUGCACGAUCAAAGCCAUUGAGUAAUCAUGAAACUUCUAAGUACCGAAGUGUAGUAUUAUUUUCACUUGCCUUAUCUGUCUCAUACGUAGAUAUGGCAUCUUUUCUGGAAGUACUUUUCCUCCAUCCAGGGGUGGUAUCUUUAAACGAUGAAGAUGCACAAGGUAAUGUAUCAAUUUCACUUGAAGCUUACUUGUAGUUUCGGGCUUGGUCAAGUGCGAUACAAAACCCUUUAAUAGGAGUCCCCCAAGUCGCCGAGCUAGGAGAUUUGCCGAAAGAGGUAACAGACAAGGUAAUCAAUCAGACUUCCAAGCAAGCAACCUGGAUCAGAGGUUCGACUUCGACUUCCGAUUGAUUUUUCUCAUUCUCCUUGUGUCGUAAACAGCAACAAGGAUAAGAAGAAGCAAAUGGAGAAAAGAUGAUAUGAGAUAGUUUUGCUUUUGAAGAAGUAACUUUCCACAUGCUUAUUCUUGAACUGGGCCGGAGGGUUUUCUGGUUUCCUUCAGAGUAUAAGGCUGACUCAAGAAUUUGAAGGUCAAAACAAGUCCAUCAAAUCAAGAGUGCGUUCGACCUUGAUGAUAUGGGAUACUUUUGCUGUUGACGAAGUAAUAGAUGAAUCGGCACAUGUUCUAUUGCGUUUGUCUCCACAUGCUUCCUUGUAUCCUUUUCACUUGCCCUAUCUGUUCCUUAGGUAGAUGUGGUAUCUUUUCUGAAAGCAUAAGAUGUUGAAGAUGAGGACUUGAGAGCAAUGCCAGGUAAGUAAUCAGGCAAAGGGUUCCAGGCAGUCAGUUCUUGACUGGAAGCUUGAUUCCAAGUGCUGACUGAUUGCUCUCUUUCUCCUUGUCUUGCAGGUAAGAACAAGGGCAAAAGAAAAGACAAGGAAAAAUCAUGAUAUGGGAUACUCUUGCCUUUGACCCUGAUGAUAUAAGAUACUCUUGCUCUGGUGUGGCUGAUUUGUAUAGGUAUUAUUAGGGGGGGAGAAAGCUGAGUAUUUUGAGAGGCUUCGUUGGGAGUGCCCUCUUAGAUAUGAGCAAGGGUUGAGCAUUUUUGCAGGUCUGCCUAUCCGUGGAGGAUGAAGGUCGACAUAUAUAGGAGUCUCCCUAACAACAAGUAGUAAUGCUAUUCCUUUACCCUUCUUGGUCGUAGCAAUGUAGUGGGAGUUGCAAGCUUCACGUGUUUUAACUUUGUUAGAACACUUUGAAAAAGUGGUAUGUGGUAUCUGGAAAGCUGAUGUUGUGUGUGAAGAUUGCAGACAAGCUUUAUCCAAGGAAAUCUGGUUCUCGAAGUUCGGAGAGCGAUGCCUCUUCGGUUUUCGAACAAGUAAUCCUGUCGGGGAUCUGGCUUUCGAGAUUUGGAGAAUGGUACCUCUUCGAUUUUUGAGAAAGCAAUCUUGUUGGGAGUUUGGCUCUUGAGAUUCGGAGAGCGAUGCCUCUUCGAUUUUUGAGAAAGUAAUCCUGUUGGGAGUCUGGCUCUCAAGAUUCGAAGGGCGGUGCCUCUUCGAUUUUUGAGCAAGUAAUCCUGUUGGGAGUUUGGCUCUUGAGAUUCGGAGAGUGGUGCCUCUUCGAUUUUUAAGAAAGUAAUCCUGUUGAGAGUCUGGCUCUUGAGAUUCGGAGGGCAGUGCCUCUUCGAUUUUUGAGCAACUAAUCCUGUUGGGAGUCCGGCUCUCGAGAUUCGAAGAGUGGUGCCUCUUUGAUUUGUGAGCAAGCAAUCUUGUUGGGAGUGUUUUCUCGAAUGUGAGUAAAGGUUGGGCAUUUUUGCCAGUCUACCUUGCCACGGAGCACGGAGGUUGACACACAUAGGGACUUUUCAGUUUCAAGUAGUGGUGUUGUUCCUUUACCGUUGUGGGUAAUAGUAGGGUAGCUGGACCUUUAAAAUUUAUGUGUCUAAACUUUGUCAGAGAUCUUUGGCAAAGUUAUCUAUUGUACCCGAGGAGCUGAUGUUUCAUGUGGAGAGUGGUGCCUUUUUGAAAUCCGAAGAGUGGUGCCUCUUCGAUUUAUAUAUAUAUGUUUUAAGCUUUGUAGGUGAAGGUUUGGUGUUUAAGCUUUGUAGGUGAAGCUUUGAGGUUAAAGCUUUGUUGGGCACCUUGAAUUGAUUUUGCUUCACACUUUCUUGAUCAAGAUAGUGUGAAGCUUUUGUGUUGAAGCUUUGUAGGUGAAGCUUUUGUGGGUCAAGCUUUUGUGGGUCAAGCUUUUGUAGGUGAAGCUUUUGUGGGUCAAGCUUUUGUGGGUCAAGCUUUUGUAGGUGAAGCUUUUGUGGGUCAAGCUUUUGUGGGUCAAGCUUUUGUAGGUGAAGCUUUUGUGGGUCAAGCUUUUAUAGGUGAAGCUUUUGUGGGUCAAACUUUUGUGAGUGAAGCUUUUGUGGGUCAAGCUUUUGUGGUGGGGGAAGCUUUUAUGGGUGAAGCUUUUGUGGUGGGGGAAGCUUUUAUGGGUGAAGCUUUUAUGGGUGAAGCUUUUGUAGGUGAAGCUUUUGUGGUAGGUGAAGCUUUUGUGGGUGAAGCUUUUGUGGGUGAAGCUUUUGUUGGUGAAGCUUUUAUGGGUGAAGUUUUUGUAGGUGAAGCUAUUGUGGGUGAAGCUUUUGUAGGUGAAGCUUUGGAGUUGAAGCUUUGUAAGUGAAGCUUGGGAGUUGAAGCUUUUGUUGGGUACCAUAAAUUGAUUUUGCUUCACACUAUCUUGAUCAAGAUAGUGUGAAGCUUUUGAGAAUUUGUAGUUGUUCUCCAUUGAUGAAGCUUUUGUAGGUGAAGCUAUUAUGGGUGAAGCUUUUGUAGGUGAAGCUUCAAAGUUGAAGCUUUUAGGUGAAACUUUGGAGUUGAAGCUUUUGUUGGUGAAGCUUUUGUGGUGAAGCUUUGUUGGGUACCACGAAUUGAUUUUGCUUCACACUAUCUUGAUCAAGAUAGUGUGAAGCUUUUGAGAAUUUGUAGUUGUCCUCCAUUGAUGAAGCUUUGUUGAAUUUCCUUUUUUUUUUUUGGGAAACUAGAAAUUUGAAAACGUGGGAGAGACAACAUAUACAAAUUUUGCAUCCACACUGUUGAGUAAGAGAUUGUGAUGUAAGCCAUACCUUGUAGUAGUUGAAGGUUUGGAUGAACCAUAUAAAUUGAAUUUGCUUCGAAGGUUUGAGAAUUGUAGUUGCCCUCCAUUGAUGAAGCUUUUGCUGGCACCAUAAAUUGGUUUUGAUUCACACUGUCCUGAUCAAGAGUGUGUGAAGCUUUUGAUAAUUGUGGUUGCCCUCCAUUGAUGAAGCUCUUGUUGGCACCAUAAAUUGGUUUUGCUUCACACUGUCUUGAUCAAGAGUGUGUGAAGCUUUUGAGAAUUGUGGUUGCCCUCCAAUGAUGAAGCUCUUGGUUACACCAUAAAUUGGUUUUGCUUCACACUGUCUUGAUUAAGAGUGUGUGAAGCUUUUGAGAAUUGUGGUUGAACUCCUUUGAUGAAGCUUUGGUUGGCACCAUAAAUUGGUUUUGCUUCACACUAUCUUGAUCAAGAGUGUGUGAAGCUUUUGAGAAUUGUGGUUGUCUUCCAUUGAUGAAACUCUUGUUGGCACCAUAAAUUGGUUUUGCUUCACAUUGCCUUGAUCAAGAGUGUGUGAAGCUUUUUACGAGUUGUAAUGUUUACAUUGUUACAGAGGGGAAAUGUCUAAAGCAGAUGCAAGGGGGCUGAAUAGCUUGAUCUUUGUAUGCCAUGUAUUGAAGUUGUUGUUGGCUUGCAAUAAGACUUGGUUGGUGACUAUAACUCUUGUUGGGCUUAAGUGCUCCCCUAUUUGAGUUGUCAAGCUUUAAGGUUUAUGAUUAUUUAUGAAUGUUAGGAGUUCACAUGUACAAGUUGUACCACUCGUUUCUGGUAGGUGGAAUGAAUGGUGAGUUGCUUUCAUCACUUUGUUGGUGGUACAAAGGUGAGUUCCUUUAUCACCUUUCAUCACAUUUCAUCACCUGGUUAGUGGCACGAGGUGAGUUCUUUCUUCACCUGGUUGGUGGCAUGAAUGGCAAGUUGCCAAAUGAUAUUAGAGUACGGGUUGUAAAUUUCAUCACCUGGUUGGUGGUAUGAAGGAAAGUACGGGUUGUACAUUUCAUCACCUGAUUGGUGGCAUGAAGAUGAGUUCCUUCUUCACCUGGUUGGUGGCAUGAGUGGCAAGUUACUAAAUGAUAUUAGAGUACGGGUUCUACAUUUUCUCACCUGGUUGGUGGCAUGAAGAAGAGUACUGGUUGUACAUUUAAUCACCUGGUUGGUGGCAUGAAUGGUAAGUUGCCAAAUGAUAUUAGAGUACGGGUUGUACAUUUCAUCACCUGAUUGGUGGCAUGAAGGAGAGUAUGGGUUGUACAUUUGAUCACUUGGUUUGUGGCAUAAAUGGCAAGUUGCCAAAUGAUAUUAGAGUACGGGUUGUACAUUUCAUUACAUGGUUGGUGGCAUGAAAGAGAGUACGGGUUGUACAUUUCAUCACUUGGUUGGUGGCAUGAAGAUGAGUUCCUUCUUCACCUGGUUGGUGGCAUGAGUGGGAAGUUGCCAAAUGAUAUUAGAGUACGGGUUGCACAUUUCAUCACCUGGUUGGUGGCAUGAAGGAAAGUACGGGUUAUACAUUUCAUCACCUGGUUGGUGAGAAUAAGGGCAAUGUGUCUAAGCAUAUUGUAGCAAGUGUCGAAUGGCACAUAGUAUGUUGAACCUUUUCAAAGCGCAGUUGGCUUAUGUAUGAGUGUGUUAGAGUGUAUGAUUGAAUGAAUAUACUGUCAAGCUGUUCGUUUAUUUGUAUAGUCUUAUGGACAUAUACUUAGACUUUGUUUCAUGUUGGAAACAUUCAUGUUAAAGCUUUGAACCUGAGUGUUUCAUUGCUAGGCAUGUAAAAGGAUUUGGACCGAGUUGUCUAAAUCACCUCUUUAUUGAAUUCAUGCCAAAUAGUCUUCGUUACAUAGGAUGCCAAACGGCUGAAGCUUAACACUUGUACAAUAUGAGUUUACUUGUAAUAGUACUUCAAGUGAUCAGCGUUCCAUGGAUGGCCAAAGGUCUUGCCAUUGUAAUAGCCAGGGAGACUGAUCCCAACAACUUCACACGGUCUAUCCCAGUUUGGACUAAGUGUUCCUUUACUCGGGACUCUGUCGCAGAGUAAUCUUUUCUUCAAUACCCAGUCCCCCACUUUGAAAGAACAAGGUUUGACCCUCGAGUCAUAGUAGUUGGAGAUGUGCUGUUUGUAGGCGACAUUCCUCAAGUGAGCCUGGUUUCUAUGUUCCUCGACUAGAUCUAAGUUGAGGGUAAGUUGUUUGUCAUUUUUGCUUUGCACGUAGUUCUGGACUCAUAACGUUGCUUGCUCAAGCUCAACUGGGACAACUGCCUUUGUACCAAAAGCAAGUGAGAAUGGGGUUUCUCCUAUUAAUGUCCGAUACGAAGUGCGGUAUGACCAAAGAACUUGGGGUACAAAUUCUGGCCAACAACCUUUAGCCUUGUCCAAGCUGGUUUUCAAAGUUCGCUUGAUUAUUUUGUUGAUGGCUUCAACUUGUCCAUUAGACUGGGGAUGAGCUGGGGAGGCAAAACAUAAGUUGAUGUUGAACUUAGAGCAGAACAUCCUAAACUUAUUGUUGUCGAACUGUCGCUCGUUGUCAGUGAAUAUCGCAUUGGGAAUGCCAAAUCUGCAAAGGAUGUUCUUCCAUACGAAGUUUUCUAUUUUUGCCUCAGUAAUGGUUGCCAAGGGUUCUACUUUGGCUCACUUUGUGAAGUAGUCAACUACAAUGAUUGCAUAGCAAACCUUGCCCUUUCCUGCAGGUAUUGGGCCGAUCAAAUUAAGUCCCUAUUGGGCGAAGGGCCAAGGGCUGAUCAUAGGAGUAAGCGGCUCGGGAGGGGAGUGAGGAAUAGUUACGUAGUGUUGACACUUAUCAUGUAAGCGGGAUAUUAUGAUGGCAUCUUAGUGGAGUGUUGGCCAGUAAUAUCCUUGGCGAAAAGCCUUGUGUGCUAGGGAUCGAGAUCCAGCAUGAUCUCUGCAAACUCCUUCAUGUAAUUCCCGAAUGACAGUUUCCGCCUCUGCGAGUGUAAGGCAUCUUAGGUAUGAUAGGUUAAAACCCCGCUUGUAGAGUUGGUCAUUAAUGAUCAAGUAACGGGUAGCCUUGUAUCAAAUCUGCUUAGCUUGGACUUUGUCAUUUGGAAGGGUGCCAUGAGUAAGGAAUCUAUAAAUCGGGGUAAUCCAACUAUCCCUCUGUUGUAAGUUGCACACUUUCGCAGCCAUGGUGCUUGGUGAUGUGAAAAUUACUUGACACACAAAUUAAACCCUAUUGAUGACAAUUGUAGUAAUGAUGUAAGUAGGGAUCGUUCUAGACCGGGGAUUAACUAGGGAUGCUAAUCAACAAAUAUAAGACUCAAAAACACUAAACUAGACUCUAUAAACUCAAAACUAACUUAAAAUACUCAAAACAGCAAAUAACAAUCAAAAAGAUACAAUUCUAGACCUAACAAGUGAUUUGGACGAAAAUAUAACUUUAAAAGACUCAAAAGAUUUAAAGGAAACAAGUUUUGACUCUAAAAGCAAGACUUAAAAGCAAGGGGUUUUGUUUUGACGAAAAUUGAACUUUAAAAAUUUAAACUUUCAAAAUAAACUUAAAACAAAACAGAUUGUGAUGAAAUAGAAUGAUGAGAAACUAGUUAGAGGGUUCCUUAUCCACUCAUGAACAUAUGCAUAUAAUUUGAUUCCCAGUUAUGACUUCAACAAACGAUGAAUGACAAUGUUCCAAGUUAAUUAGGUCCGCUUAAAUUAACUCUUAGAUUUCCCUAGAUUCAUUGGAUUAAAUGGAAUACGCAUUACAACCAAAUUAUUCCUCAUCAAAGUCCCUAACUAUGGAAUACGCAUGAUAGAGACAUUCAACAAAGAUCAUUAAGUUCAACGGAAAUCAUAAACAUUGACUAGGCAUUCAUAACUAUGGAAUACGCAUGUUAAUCCAGCCUAGGGUUUACUUAAACACAAUCGUGACUAGCGAUCUUUACUACUCAUGAAUAUAAGUUCAUAACGAUUAGGUGAAAUUCCCUUAUAUCCUAGCAUCAAGUUUAGGCAUGCAAAUUAAGUGUCGACCCUCAACCCACAUACAUAAACAAGUUCUUAAUCAAAACAGAAAAGUAAACCACAUCUAAAGUUCAUGAAUUCAUAACUGGAGUAAAACAAAUCAUAACCAACAUAUGUCCAUGGCUUCAAAUUUGCCUCUAACUAAAAAGAAAUUAGUUCCACAUGUUUAACAUAAUUGAACAGCAAGUUAAAUUAAACAUGAACAUAGAAUUAAAAGAAGAAAGAAUUCCAAACACUCUAAUAGUUGCUGAUUGCAUAAGCACGGCACUACUCCUCCUCUCCUUCAAUGGUGGCGGCACAAGGUGGUUAUGGUGGUUGAAUGGUUGGUUAUAUGGAGGAAUGGAUGGGGAAGGUUUAGAUAUGUAGGGAGAGGCAAGGGAAGGCUUGGAGAAUGGUUAAUUUCUGGAUGAUUUGAAUGAGGUUGCUGCCAUGGUAUUUAUAGGAAAAGGAUGGACUUGUUUAACACAAAAUUCUGGUGGAAUUGAGUAGGUGAGCACGGCAAAGAGUGGGAAUUGUUGGUGGGUUAGGUAUUGAGUCAUCCAUUCACAUGUCAUGGUGAGUUAAGCAUUGCAUCAUCCACUCACAUGUCAUGGUGAUUUAAGCAUUGCAUCAUCCACUCACAUGUCAUGGUGAUUUAAGCAUUGCAUCAUCACUCAAAUUUCUGGUGAAAGUGAAUCAAUGCCCACAGCAUUGAAGAAUUUCUUGGUUUUGAGUGAAGUUUUGGUCAAUCAUUCUAGAAAUUUAUCCCUUCUUGCAACUUGUAUUUGUUUCACCAGAUUUUUAGCAUGUUCAUAGCCUCUUUUGUCUUCAAAUUCGUCCAUCCUCAUGCCUCCAUGCUUGCACAAUCCAAUCUUGGCCCAAAAAUGCUCUAGAAUGUUCCAAAUUGCUUCUUUUUGCAUACUUUGACACUAAAACCUGAAAUUGCACUAAAAUAACUUUAAACACUAUAAUUAUCAUAGUUUAGCUAAUUAAAAGCAAGAAAACAAGCUAACUAAGUCGUAUAAAUAUGCUCCUAUCACUUGGUGCUGCCAACAAUUCAACCUGAAUUUUUCUCCCAAUCUUGUCUUCCACCGCUGAGGCGAGACAAGCUAAAGCAUCUUCAUGAUUGUUUGCCGCUCGAGGAAUUUGGGUGAUCUGGUAGUGGAAGUGCUUAAACAACAAUUGUGUUUGUGCCAAAUAUGCUGCCAUAGAGCUAUCUUUAGCGUCAAAGUUGUUGGUGACCUGGUUAACCACCAAUUGGGAGUUACUGAAGAUAUCAAGGUGUUUGGCCAAACGUAAGCCUGCUAUGAGGGCUUCAUAUUCGACCUCAUUGUUUGACGCCUUGAAUUUGAAACGAAGAGCAUACUUCAUCGCCACUUUGUCAGGGGUCGUACGGACUAGUCCUGCUUCACAACCUUGUUGGUUGGAUGAGCCAUCAACAUAUAGACUCCAUGUUGGGGCUGUUUGUUCUAUUUUUCUGAGCUUCCGAGGGUAAUGAAACCACUUCUUUAGGUGUAGAAACAAUGUCAACAGGAUAUGUGAAGUCGACGAUGAAGGCUGCCACUGCUUGGCCCUUCUCAGCUGGCUUUGGUUGGUAGGAGAUGUCAAACUCACCCAAUGCUAUCGCCAUUUUGAUCAUUUGCCCAGAACUGUCAGGACUUUGAAGUACCUGUCGAAGAGGAUGAUUGGUAAGCACGAUGAUGAAGUGUGCUUCGAAGUAAGGGCGAAGUUUUCGAGCAGACAUGACCAAUGCUAGAGCUAAUCCCUCCAAGGGUGGCCAGCCUCUUUAGAGAGAAAUGAGAGCUUUGUGCUCUCUCCAAUUUCCUCAACAAAAAAACCCUAAAUGAAUUUUGGUAUAAAGUCAUAUUUAUACCUUUAUUCAUUGGAGUGGCAAACUUGUAAUUAAAGCAAGUUUACUACCCUUCCUCUAAAUGGCCGGUCUUAGGGUAUUAUUGGGCUAUUUGGGCCUUUGUGAAUCAUUAUUCAUUAAGUUGUCAUACAACUUAAGUCAAUGGACUUGACGUUCAAAGCCCAUUGGGCCUUAAGGUCCAAUACUAUCCCGAGGUCUUUAACAAACUUAUUCGUUUGAUUAAUUAACAUAUUAAUUAAUCCUUGCCAUAAAUAAUUAAACCAUUUAAUUAUCUUACUCAUCUCCGUUGUUUCUUCAAUCUCUACCUUACACGGUGUACAAUCCAUUAGGUUCCUUUUAGCGAGGCAUUGGCGAUUAAAACUCUUUCAAAUCGAUUGUGAAUUGAAACUUACUUUCAAUUCUCCCUUUAGUGUUUAUACACGUUUAGGGCUUCCACAAACCAUGAGUGACACCUAGCAGUAUGUCAUGGUUACCCAAGCUAAUCAGAAGAGGUGGAGAACCUAUUCAGUUUAGGAUUACAAUGCAAUAUGGUCUUUCUCUAAUACAAUACUCUUGAUCACAUUGUUUGGAUUGAUAGUUUAUUCAUGUCUACUAUCCAAUGUGAUUCAUUUACUUAUAUGAUUACCUUGAAUGUGAUUUGGUAUGACUUCCUAAAUCUCAUUCAUACUCUGGCCAGAGAUUCUUAAUCAUAUCAUAGAGUUUUCUCCCUCAAACGGUUUGAAGGUUAGAGAUCCCUUGUUGCGCAUUCACUUGCCUCCAUGGCUAAGUGGCUUAACCCCAACUAUGCCGUGGACACCCGCGAAUGGAGUGACUUUGACAUAAUCAAAGAUCAAGGACCUAACCACAAGACAACUAUGAUGCCUCAGGUCAAAGGACUACUUUGCAUUAUCCCAACCAUGAGUUCUCAUGUGACAUGAGUAUGAGAACUCUUCGUUUAUCAUGUUCAGUGAACUCAUUCGCUAUUGAGCACCUACAUGCUUGUCUUGGUGUCAGUCACACCAAUGACUCAAGACCAGUCACUCUCACUAAGAGAAGACAUAGCACAUACUAAUCUUAACGGACUGUCAAUGCCAAUUGGCAAUCCUAUGAUCAGGAACGUUUAGGAUAUGUAUACGAAAGAGAAUGGUCUCAUGAAUCUAACUUCUUUAAAUUACAUUCUCCUAAUUACAUAUUCCUUGGACUCAUUGUUUAAGCAUAUAACAUUUAUAUGAGACGGCUUAAAACAAUAAUCUAUGCCCUUGAUAUUAAACUAGAUUAGUUUAACUUGUGAAAUGUCCGUAAAGUAUCAUCAUAUGAUUGGUUUUAGGGCACAUUUCUAACAAUCUCCCACUUGCACUAGAGCCAAUCAGCUUGGUCAUCAGUGAUGAUACCUCUUCUGUAGUCAUUUCAAAAAUGGCUGAGUAGUAGGCCUAGACAAUGGAUAUCUAUAUGUUAUCCAUAAAAGCAACCUUGAGAAUAACGACGUCACCAUUAUACAUGAUUCUCAAUCAUGUGGUUCAGUCUCUCAUUUGAGUUCGGAUCGUGAUGAGACCUUGAUUCCCUGGCUUGAGCUAUCGCCCCAUUAGUGUCGUAGUGUCAGUACACUAGAGACACUUUCUGGUUGGAACCGAAUAGAGAGUUCAUAAAUGAACUUUCCCAUCCAAACAACAUUGUUGUAAGCUUCUAUAUGGCAAUAUAUUUUGCAUUCACAAUGGAACACACUAAAGUCAUUACUUUGAAUGUUUCCAUCCAAAUAUCUCUUUUAGUCAUAAUAAAGAGAUAUCUGAUUAUCUCUUCAUUCAUAAUGAAGAAACAUCCAAUGAUGGAUUAGAUUCAUAAUCUAAUACAUUUACGCUUCCAUUUCGUUACUCUUAUUCUUCCUCAUUCUUUGAGGAAUCUAUCCUUUAGUAUUUCUUAAAUACUUAAGGACUCACUUGACAGUUGCCAUGGUUCUGAUCCUGGGCUUGCACUGAUAUCGUCUUGUACCGUUCUAGGUACAACUCAUAUCAAUGUUUUCAUACAAUAUGAAAUACAUCAAUUACCUUUCUACAUAUGCAUAAAGGAUUCUAUUUACGCAUUAUUUCUUUGGGAGUCAAAGGGCACGUUCCCUUUGAGAAGGGCAACUUGCUAGUCUCACUAGAGUCGUCCUUCUAAUUGAAGUUUAUCACAUAUGAAAAACUUCCUAGCAUCUCUUGUCUAUUAUUAGGGAUUGAUAUAAUCGAAUUAUAUCUUGAAAUAUAUCAUUAUAGAUUUCUAUCCCAUGUAUUUAGACUAUAUCUCCCAUAUACAUUCUAUCGUUAUAGAAUGUUUAAAGUCAUAACUUUAACGAAGAAGUAUUCUUUUCAUUUCCAAAAUUAAUAUAUCAUAUAUAUAUUCAAAUUUAGGAAUUUGAUUAACUCCCACUAAUCUUUUGUAAACCUAGAAACAAAAGAUUCAUUCACAUCUUUAUGAGAAAUCAAACGAUUUGAUCUUUCUCUCAUAAGACGCUUAUAGCUCCCACUAGCUUGCUAAGAUCCAUGAUGGAUGGAUCUCUACAACUUACAUGUCUUGUGAUUCAUAGUUUUAAACAUAUAUUAUCAAGACUAUCUUAAUAAUGGUUUCGGAAACCCAUAUUAUGUCCAAACAUUGAAUCACCAUUUAGUUGUAGCUAGCAAUCUUCGAAUUAAUUGAAACUAAGACUACGUCAAAGAUGGUUUCUUCAAAGUCAACCAUUCUCUUUGAUUGUAGUUACCUUAAGCUACCAAUUAGCUAUAAAGGUUUUAUUAUUUCGGAUCAAAUGGUACUUUACCAUUUCCUUGAGUAUAUGUCGUAUAUACACUCAAUGUAGUCAUAAGGAUUUUCAUUCUUAUUUCUUUCGAAUUAAGAGGUGUAACUCUAUGACAUAGUCAUAAAGUUCAAACCAUUCAACUGAGACAGUUUAUAAAUCCUUCUCGACUACCUUGGAGCUUGUAGUGUAGGAACUAGGUUGUUAUAUUUGUUGAUUAUCAUCUUGUCUCUCAAAGAACCCAUUCUUUGAGUUCUAUCUCUUGUUCAUUUGCGCUAUCUUAGGCAAAUCCUAGUGCAGGAUUACAAUGAACUACCCAACAAACAACAUUUGUUAGUUGGUUUAUAGAAGUGAUAUCCAAAUGUUAAUUUAAGGAUAUCCACAAGAUAAUUCUCAAAUAAAUAUUGCUUAUUAGCACACAACCCCAAAUCUUAACAUGAUUAAGAUUUGUCUUUCUUUCCAACUACAUCAUAUGGAGUCAUGAAAAUUUUGGAAGAUCUUCUAAUUGACAAUCAUAUUGUCUUAGAAGCAUAUAUCCUAUAUAUGGGUAAUUGAUAACAUCCAAUGAACUAAAUCUUAUUCAAGUUCGUUCUUCUCCUAAUGGAGAAAUCCAUUAUCUUUUGAUGCUUCUUUCCUUGAUAUUUUUCAAGGAAACUGUUCUAAAGUGUUAUCUUUCCUUGGAUCAAAUCUAAGGAGGCAAAUACUUUAGACGUCUUACUCAUCAACUUACAUUUUUUGAAUUCUUUGAAACCUUUUGCAAAGUAUUCGGACUUGUGUUUAUUCAAAAUAAACUAUAGUCCAACCGAGAGCGAUCUUCGGUGAAUGUCAUACAACAUGAGUAGUAUUAUGUUGUGGACAAGUGCCACUAACAUCUAAGUGAAUUAACCUCAACAACUUUGUGAUUCUUUCUUCUUUCCAAAAGAAUAAAGAUUCGAACAUUUCGCCUCUAUACAAUUUUAAUAAGAAGGUAUUGGAUCCGGAUCUAACGAUCCAAAGCAUCCAUCUAUGACCAACUCAUAAUUUAUGUUUUAGAGGUAUCACAACUCAGUUGGGAUUAGUCACCACCUUGCAACCUUUUGGGUUUUAAGCAUCGUUAUAUUCUAAACAGUUAACACUACCAUAUCAUCUCUACUAUAGAGACAAUCAAUUAGAUUACAAUAAUCUAAUCAUUCAUUAAUAAAGAACAAUGUUUUUUCAAACAAAACAUUCAUCCAUCCCUUAUAGUGAUGGAAUUAAGUUCCUUAAAAUUGGAAUGUAAAGACAAUCUUUGGUUUUUCCAAUUUCUUUGGUAGUUCAUAUGAGGAAGUAAGUACCAUCUGCUUUCGCAGAAAUCUAUAUUUAAUUCACAUUCCGAAUAUGAAGUACUUUCUCUUCUCUCAUUAAUCUUCUACUUUUUAUUAGCCACACUUUUACAACGAUUGUAAAACAUAGUUACUAAUACGGAAUCAAACAUUCAAGUAGAAGAACCAACUGUUUUGAACUUUUCAAGAACAAUUUACAACACCUUCAAAAGGUGUGUUCUUGACACUUGCAAGACAUUUCUUGCAAAUACCCCUUCCAAUGUCCAUCCUUUCAUAAAGAAAGUUUGUUCCCUUGGAGUUUAUUUCGCUUUCUUCAUUUGACUUCUCCUUUUGACUACAAUAGCCAUGGUCCCUAAACUCCCACUAUCUCUCUUGAAACUUAUUUCAAUUGUGUUAUACACAUCAAAUGAUUUGGAGAGUGUGUGGUUAUUGUUCACUAUAUAGUUUACAAUAAACUUAGUGAACCAUUUGGAUAGGGACACAAAGGUGAAGUCCUUGCCUAGUUUCCGUUUCUAGAAGUGGUUUAACACUUCAACACUCAAUGAUUCAAAAUCAUCAUAAGUCCAUGUUGAUGGACUAUUUUUGUCAACCAACCAUUAUGUUCUAAACAUAAUUACAAACUUUCAAGAGUUGUUCAAGGCAACUCUCAUUUCUUCAUACAACAAUUUGUAAGUGAAGAAUCAUGGCACAUAAAGUGUCCAUGCCCUUGUGCUUUCUUCUCAAGUUCUUUGUUCAUUUAACAAAGAAACAAGCACUAGUGUUUGCAUUAGCUAAGGGUUGUUCAAAGCAACUCUUAUUUCUUCAUACAACGAUUUGUAAGUGAAGAACUAUGACAUUAAAAGUGUUGUCCUCUUUAUGAUCAUGUUCUUCCAAUGAUACAUUAUCAAUAGGAAGAUUGAGAGGAUUAGACUACUUAGGUACAUAUACAUUCCAUUUAAGACAAUCUUUGGGAUUGUGGUACCAACUCCGGAAACUAAAGCAUUCGGCUUUUCUUAGUCAAGUUUUGGAUAGUGUUUGCAAAUAUAUUGGUAAACAAAUACAUAACGAAUAUAAAUUGAUUGAUUUUAAGCCAUUUGAUUCGGGUCUUUAAAUCAAAUAGCACCACCCACUAUUUUUGGCAAAUUCCAUAUCCCUCAUUGGAAUUCGAGAGUUUUGGAGGAAACUCUUAGUAGAGUAUGGGAGACUCACUAUUACCAAGCCCACCUCACAAUGAUAUGAUGUUGGCUAGUAUCAAUAAUAAUGAGAGAGUACACUUACUCAUUUGCAUCUCUUGCAAGUACCUAUCUUAUUUGGCCUCUAGAGAAUGAAGCCUCACAAUGAUAUGAUGUUGGCUCCAUUGCACUUAGUUAAGUCAUUCCCACCAUGCAAGUUCAGGUAGGGGUUCAAGAACAACCUCACAAUGAUAUGAUGUUGAUCAUUCUCGUUGCCUACCUUCACAACAUCAUGUAUGCAUAUAGGAUUCAUCCUGAGUGUAAGCACGCACUUUGUACUCCCCCAUGAUAGGGUGAAGUCGGUGUACGAGUCACAAACGAUCGGAGACUACCACGGUGGAAGGCCACGAAAGAGUGUUCAAAGCACUCUCACGCUUAUCAACUUAAUAAUGGUUUGGUUGAGGGUUUUAGGUCGCAUCAUAUAUAAACAUUCAUUUUAAUCUUAUUAAAACAAUUUGGUCCUAUUACAACUAUUGGUCCAUGUGAUUGAUUUAGUUGUACAUGAUA
rnacentral:lncRNA from 1 species